GUUGAGUAAGGUACCGGGUGCCAGUUGCGGCCCGUCGGUUUGGGUCAUGACAAAAGUGGUAUCAGAGCAGUUCUGUCCUAGGGAGUGUACAAGCCAUGUCUAGUAGAGUCUUGUUUAUGGGUGUGUCAUGCACCACACUUAUAAGCAGGAGGCUACAAGGCAUUUAGGAUUGUCACUCUUUCUUCUUACUCUAGAUCGUGUGGUAGAGCUCAGUUGUAAGAACUCAAUUUCCUAAACUCUAUCUUAUUCGUAAUACAGCGAUGCCUACAUCCAGAAAGACGGUUGGUAAGAGAUAUAUUUGUGGAAGAGUUGAGUAAGAGGAACUCAAUUUUUGCAUCAUGCUUAUGAUGGGUAAAUAUGAGGUAUUCAGCAGAUCAUGUGUACACUAAUACAUGUAAGCCUCUUGAUAAGGAACCUUAAGGCAAGAAUAUAUAUCCACCUUUAUGGUGAAAGACAAUGAGAGAUUCAGAGGAUAAAUACAAGUUUCAAGAAGUAAAAGAAGCAAGAUGAAAAAGGGUACGGGGUAUCCAGUUAAUAAAGAUUAUCAUUACCUGCCAUUCAGGAAGGGAGAUAUAAGCAUUUUGAGUUACCUUCAACAGUGACAGAUGUAUAUACAAUCGGCCACACCGAUCUUAAUUAUGCCCUAUGGGAUCUAACAGACAUAGUUUAAGAGAAGGACGAGUUAUCAGGAUCCGUCUAGGGAUAGAGUAACCCAAAAUAGUGGAUGGAUUAUUAGAGUUAGUUGACGUUUCCGAAGGAUAGAGCAAACGCGAUAAUGGAUCUCCUUGUGAGACACCUCGAUGGUGCACUCUAAAAUAGUUCAGCUAGAUAUGAGUACUACAAAGAUAAGCAUUGGAAGUCUGGAAGGGAUAAUUAUUACCUUAGUGUAGCUCCCAUCCCUGGUAGAAAGAGAACGUUAGGCAAUUCGAGGAGCCAGUAGAUGGAGCAAGGGGAGCUAAAAGCAAAAGAAUGUCUUGUUCGAGUUUUCAGAAUAAAGUGAUAGACAUAAAUGUUUGCGAAAAAUAAGAAGAGAGUUAAUGAAGCAUUAUGAGUAAGAUGUGAUACAUGGAUGACAACGGUAGAUCAAAAAGAUGACAGUAUUACAAAGUCUAUAGUCAGGUGAAGGAAAGGACGAGAGGUAACAGGCCUUGAGACAAUAAAAGAGUAUAGGCCAUAAAGUCAUAUCCUCAUUUUGAGAAAUAAGUCCGUGACUCCAACGCAAUUACCAAAAGGAAAAAUUAGACCCCAGAGUAAUAAGAAAUCAGUAUGGAUUGGUGAACAAGAUAAACUUAACAUAAAUUAGGUACUGAAUGAUUCGAUAAUGGUCAACAUCAUUAGAAUUUCAAAUUUUGUUCCGGCAAUAAUAGAAUGAACAAUAGAAGAAUACCCUUUAAAGGUCAUUCAGGAAGACGCUUCCUUAAAGCAAGCAAGGUGAGUAAAGUUAAGUUUAAGGGACUAUAUGUGCCAGUUACACUAAGUUUUACCCUCACGAGUGAGGAAUUUCGUUAUCCUUGGUACACAAGGAUUACCGCGAGGUGAGUAAAGAUCAUCGAUGAUGUGAAAAGAUGCCAAAGAUGAGAGGGUAAAAUAUCUAUACUUAGAUCAUCGUAGCACUAAAUCUUAGUGCUCCCCUAAAGGGGGGGAAUAUGGAGUGAUGUGGUAUUAAGUUAGAAUUAAGUGGUUCUAGUAAUUAUGGAAUGGUAAGGGAAGAAUGCGAAGAGAAAAAAAAUAUGAAAAUGGUAUGAGAUUGCACUUAUUCAAAUCCUACAUAUAUGCAACGAUUCCAGAACAUUAUGCAAACACGACGUCAAGGAAAUGAAGUAAGGGUCCCUGCUUGAGAUGUUAUUGAUAAAUAAGGAGCAAGUGCGAGACGUAAGUUAAUGCAAAGGAAAUAACCCACGAGAGAUUACGUGGAAUAUUGAUAUAAGAAUGGGCCAAUGAGUAGUUAGUAGUUGAUCCAGGAAGAGCCUAGUUAUGGCUAAAUAAGAGGACACAAACAAAUCAACAGACUGUGCAAGAUGAACAUAGUGAACCCCCAAUAUGGGAAAUUCAGUCUCGCAAAUACGACAUCGUGAUCCUUGAGAAAUAUUCAGUUAAGAGUUGGAGUAGUAAAGGUACCGUAUGAGUGUUACGGAAAUAAAAGAGCGUCCCACUGGGAAGACGGUCAAAAUAUCAGUUCACAAGCAACCGUACAAGCACAAGGGUGUGGAGGUAAGUAACUACGGGUAAUUAUAGACGAGGAAGGACAUCAAAAAAUAUUCCAUCGGGUAUACGAUGUGAUAAGCUCACAACUUUACAAGAAUCAGAGGAUCCUCCCUAAAUACUACAAUGAAAGACUAGCUGAGGAAGUAAGGAAGAAGCCUUCAACCUAAGCUCAGUAACCUAAGGAGGAAAUGGUCUUGUAACAACAGUCUCACAACAACAUUGUAUGAUCUCCAUAAGGAAGUGGAACCUACCUUGUCUAAGGAACGGGAAGAAAAAAAUUAAAAGUAAUAUUCGAGAUCAUAUGAGUUGCACGAAUACACCAGAAAACACAGUGGAGGUCACAGGACACAGUAUACUUGCAUGGUAAGGCUCUGUGGUCCGCACAAUUUUAUUGCGGCCACAGAUGAAGCCUUUACGUAUAGCACAAUUUAGCUUUGCGGCCGCAAAAGUGAAGCGUGGUCUGCACAAUUUCACUUGCAACCGCAUCUAUGUAACCCAAAAUGUGCCAACUCUCUGAUGACAGAGAAUUGGCUAAUGUGCGGCCGCAACAUGAUUUCUACGGUCCGCACAAUUUGACAUGCGGCCGCACAUUUAAGUCACAAAAUGUAGACUCUCUGAAGACAUUGGAAGGGCUGUUCUGUGGCCACAAUGGGAAUUAUGUAGUCCGCACAAAUUUUUUGCGGCCGCAAACCUAUUCUUAACUAAAUCUACCCUAGAGUCAACUUCUGCGGACCGCACAAUUUCACGUGCGGCCGCAUAAUUCAAAAUAUACGAACAAUCCAGUUAUUUCAAUAUAGGGUUUGCAAUUUGUUUGUGCAAAUUUUGACAUGACAACAACAUAAAGGCAUGAAAAUACAAUGACCCAGUCCCCAUAGAACAUGUACUAGUUAACCCACGACUUAUUUACCCCCACAUGUAUGUACAAUUGAAUUCUAUUGACAAAUGGACUUUGAAGCAUACCAACUGAAUGAGUGUGAUGAGUGAUUGAUCAAAGAUGUUGUGUGAGUGCACAAGUAGAUUCAGCAUAAACUUCAAAAGAUUACUUUGAUUUUGCUCAGAGAGGGAAAAAAUAUAACAGUAGUCCUUAGCCUUCUAUUUAUAGUACUUGGUUUUGUUUCAAGGGCAAGAGAGAGGCGAGUGCGGCCGCACAAUAUCAUGUGUGGUCCGCACUCUUUUACUUGAGGCUUCAAUUGUGAUUCUCCAUCUUCGAUCCGCAAAACUUCUACGUGCGGCCACAGAUUUCUUGUUGCGGCCCCAGAUUUCCUCUUGCGGUUGUACAUUGUCCUUUUUCUCUAACAGACUAAAUUCAGAGAGUUUGCAUGUUGGCACCCUUCAUUUGUGCGGUCGGCAAGUCAAUUGUGCGGCCGCGGUGUUCUAUUUUCCACAACAGUCCAAAUUGUGCGGUCCGCAUAAAUCAAUUGCGGUCUGCACUUCUUUCAAUACUUAGCCUCAUUUUGUUCCAUAGUCCCUGUAAGUUACACUCGGCCCUGCAUCAAACUUCAAAUCAACUUAGAACAAAAAAUAACACAUAACUACAAAAGAAAAAAUAGACGAAAGGAAUAGAAACAUGGGUUGCCUCCCGGGAAGCGCCUGAUUUAACGUCGCGACACGACGCAGAAUACCAUCAAUUGAAAUGAAUGACCGCCACGACGUGGACAAAUCCAACCUUUUCAAUAUAGUGCUUCACCCGGUGACCAUUGACGCAUAACACUUAAUUAUUUUUGUUCUUCAAGUCUAAUGUACCAAAAGGUGUCAUACCCACAAUUUCAAUGGGACCACUCCAUUUAGACUUUAUCUUUCCGGAGAACAUCCUCACCCUUGAGUUAAACAACAACAUAAAAUCCCUCACCUUGAACUAUUUGUUCCAAAUGUAUUUGUCAUGAAGAUAUUUCAUCUUUUCUUUGUACAAGGACGAACUUACAUAAGCAUGAUACCGGAACUCAUCAGAUUCAUUCAAAUGUGCAACCCUCAAGUUAGCGGCUACAUCCCAAUCAAGAUUCAACUUCUUUAGAGCCCACAUGGCCUUGUGAUCUAGUUCCACUGGAAGAUGACAAGUUUUCCGAACACCAACCGGUAUGGUGACAUUCCUAAAGGUAUUUUGUAAUCCGUCCAAUAAGCCCAUAAUGCAUCAUCAAGCUUCUUGGACCAAUCCGUCCGGUUAGCAUUCACUGUCUUGGACAAAAUACUCUUUGUCUCCCGGUUGGAGACUUCCACUUGACCGCUAGCUUGUGGAUGAUAGGGAUUUGUGACUUUAUGAGUAACACCAUACUUGAUUAGUAAAGUGUCGAAAGCCUUGUUGCAAAAAUGUAACCCCCCAUCGCUUAUAAUAGCCUGCGGAGUACCAAACCUUGUGAAAAUAUUCUUCUUCAAGAAUGCCACCACACUACUCGCUUCAUUGUUGGGUAGAGCAAUGACCUCCACCCAUUUGGACACAUAAUCCUCCGCGACCAAGAUGUAGGUGUUUUCGCAAGAACUCACAAAAGGACCCAUGAAGUCAAUACUCCACACAUCGAAAAUAUCAAUCUCCAAAAUGGUGGUGAGGGGCAUUUCAUUUUUCUUUGAGAUUCCGCCGGCUCGUUGAAAUUAAUCACAUCCUUUCACUAGCUCACUAGCGUCCUUGUAUAGAGUAGGUCAAUAGAACUCAGAACUUAGCACUUUAGACGACGUUCUUGCUCCAUCAUAUGGUGAAGAAUGACAAGCCCCAAGAAUUUCACCUUUCUCUUCUUCCGUUACACAUCUUCUAACCACCCCAUCCAUACCAAUCCGAAAAAAGGUAUGGUUCAUCCCAAUAAUAAUCCUGACAAUCCCGUUUGAGCUUCUUCCUUUGGUUUGAAGAGAACUCAUCCGAGAUUAUUCCAAACACAAGGAAGUUUGCUAGAUCCGCGAACUAUGGCAUCUCUUUCAUUGAAACAUCCAAGAGUUGCUCAUCGGGGAAGGAGUCAUUGAUUUCAAGGCCAUCAUACGGCCUCCCCUCCUCCUCCAAACAAGACAAGUGGUCUGCCACUUGAUUUUUACUCCCUUUUCUAUCUUGGAUGUCAAUAUCAAACUCUUACAAAAAAAAAAGCACCCAUCUCAUCAACCGAGAUUUGGAAUCUUUCUUGCUCAUAAUAUAACGAAGUGUCGCAUGAUCUGUGUAGACAAUGGCCUUUGCACCCAUCAAGUACGGGCGUAACUUCUCAAUUGUAAACACAAUGGCAAGGAGCUCUUUCUCUGUAACGGUAUAGUUUAUUUGGUCACCAUUCAUGGUUUUACUAGCAUAGUAGACCGGAUGAAAAAUCUUGUUGAUACAUUGCCCCAAAACAUCCCCAACCAUCUACGUCACUUGCAUCACGUAUGAGUUCAAAAGGGACACUCCAAUUUGGAGCGGUGAUGAUGGGAGUAGUUGUCAACUUGAACUUUAACAAUUUUAAGGCUCUCAUGCAAUCAUCAUUGAAGUUAAACUUAGCAUUUUUCUUAAGAAGCUUGCACAACGGGUUUACCACCUUAGAGAAAUCUUUGAUGAAAUGCCGGUAAAACCCCGCGUGGCCUAAGAAACUCCACACACCCUUCACUAAAGUUGGAGGUGGAAGUUUAGAAAUCACCUCAAUCUUUGCCGUGUCAACUUCAAUAACAUUCUUUGAUAUUUUGUGGCCAAGGACAAUGNNNNNNNNNNNNNNNNNNNNNNNNNNNNNNNNNNNNNNNNNNNNNNNNNNNNNNNNNNNNNNNNNNNNNNNNNNNNNNNNNNNNNNNNNNNNNNNNNNNNNNNNNNNNNNNNNNNNNNNNNNNNNNNNNNNNNNNNNNNNNNNNNNNNNNNNNNNNNNNNNNNNNNNNNNNNNNNNNNNNNNNNNNNNNNNNNNNNNNNNNNNNNNNNNNNNNNNNNNNNNNNNNNNNNNNNNNNNNNNNNNNNNNNNNNNNNNNNNNNNNNNNNNNNNNNNNNNNNNNNNNNNNNNNNNNNNNNNNNNNNNNNNNNNNNNNNNNNNNNNNNNNNNNNNNNNNNNNNNNNNNNNNNNNNNNNNNNNNNNNNNNNNNNNNNNNNNNNNNNNNNNNNNNNNNNNNNNNNNNNNNNNNNNNNNNNNNNNNNNNNNNNNNNNNNNNNNNNNNNNNNNNNNNNNNNNNNNNNNNNNNNNNNNNNNNNNNNNNNNNNNNNNNNNNNNNNNNNNNNNNNNNNNNNNNNNNNNNNNNNNNNNNNNNNNNNNNNNNNNNNNNNNNNNNNNNNNNNNNNNNNNNNNNNNNNNNNNNNNNNNNNNNNNNNNNNNNNNNNNNNNNNNNNNNNNNNNNNNNNNNNNNNNNNNUUUGCAAAGAGUUCACUACAUUCCAUGAAGCCAUCCAUCUCGUCAUCAUCAAAUUUGAGCAAGACGGCCUCCAACAUGUCACCAAGUCCACAAAAGAACACACCUCAUUGCUAUUUGGUUGCCGCAUGGACUUAAAAAUAUGGAAUACCACUUUUUCACACCCACCCGAAAAGUGAGUUCUCCAGCUUCAACAUCACAAAGAGCCUUCCAUGUAGCAAGGAAAGGUCUUCCAAGAAUAAUCGACACCUCUUAAUCACCUUCACAAUCUAGAAUGACAAAAUCCGCCGUAAGAGUGAAUUUAUCAACACGAACCAAGACAUCCUGAAUCACUCCCAAAGGUCUCUUCAUGGUACAAUUGACCAUUUGCAAUCUCAUAGAGGUGGGUCUUGGUUGCCCAAUUCCCAAGUUCUUAAAAACUGAAUAGGACAUCAAAUUGAUACUUGCCCUAAGAUCACAAAGAGCUUUAGCAAACUCGGCACUUCCAAUUGUACAAGGAAUCGUGAAAGCACCGGGAUCUUCCAACUAAGAAGCCAUUGAAUGCACAAUUGCACUCACUUGAUGAGUGACUUUGAUAGUUUAAAAAUUCAUUGGCUGCUUCUUUGUCACGAGAUCCUUCAUAAAUUUAGCAUAACCGGGCAUUUGUUCCAAAGCUUCAACUAAUGGCACAUUGAUUGAGAGACUCUUCAUCAUUUGAAUAAACUUUUUAAAUCGAUUCUCACCAUUUUGUUUGGAAAGUACUUGAGGGUAUGAAGGUGGAGGCUUAGGCAAUGGUGCCUUAGACUUUUGUACUACUGGUUUCGGUAUGUCAAUAAUGUGAUCCCUAGAGGGGUUCACAUCCUCUUGAGCCUCUUCAACAUUAUCAUCAAUAUCAAUCGAAACUUCAUGAUUUGAUUGCACCACAUUGUUCGGGACCUCUUCUUCUUGUACCACUUGCUCAUCAUCCAUAAGUUGCUUUUGACUUGAUGUGGGUGCAUUCCCACCUCUUCCACUUCUUAUAGUAACGUCCAUGGCAUGCCCCGUGUUGUUUCCAUCCUUUGGGUUUACCACCGUUUCACUUGGUAGUGCCCCCUUAGGAUGAGAAUUUAGAGCUUGAGAGAUUUGCCACAACUAAACUUCUAUGUUGUGGAUUGAUCUCGUCCAAUUUCACUCCUCUAUUUGAGGAUAUGAAAACAGUCAAUGCAAUAGUAAUACCCAACAAGAGUCAGGGUCGAAUUCCGCAAGGAGCUAUGUGAAUGGGUGUUAGUAGUAUAUAUCUUAGUGCGUGAGUUUGUAUAUCUAAAUUUGCACUUCCAUAAUAAUUGGUUUUGUUUGAAAAUCUGAAUUAAACUACGAUUGUGAUUUAAAAAUUAAAACAAGGAAAUUAUUAUUUGUUAUUUUUCAAAUGAUAUAAAAGGCCUAGGGCUAUGACCUUCACCUAGGUAUUUGCCUAAUGGGUUGUAAACUUUAAAUAUUAUUUUAUUGGUCGCGAUGUAUUAUAGCUAUCAACACUCAAGUACUCACUACCUCUCGGUCAGAGAGUGAUUUUGCCCAAUUUGGCUUUUUCAAGUCCAAAUGGGUAUUAAAUAAAACAGUUGAUAAUAAGCUCAAGUCGGGUUUUACUAUCUCUAGGUUCAACUCUUUAAUUGGGCUUAUCNNNNNNNNNNNNNNNNNNNNNNNNNNNNNNNNNNNNNNNNNNNNNNNNNNNNNNNNNNNNNNNNNNNNNNNNNNNNNNNNNNNNNNNNNNNNNNNNNNNNNNNNNNNNNNNNNNNNNNNNNNNNNNNNNNNNNNNNNNNNNNNNNNNNNNNNNNNNNNNNNNNNNNNNNNNNNNNNNNNNNNNNNNNNNNNNNNNNNNNNNNNNNNNNNNNNNNNNNNNNNNNNNNNNNNNNNNNNNNNNNNNNNNNNNNNNNNNNNNNNNNNNNNNNNNNNNNNNNNNNNNNNNNNNNNNNNNNNNNNNNNNNNNNNNNNNNNNNNNNNNNNNNNNNNNNNNNNNNNNNNNNNNNNNNNNNNNNNNNNNNNNNNNNNNNNNNNNNNNNNNNNNNNNNNNNNNNNNNNNNNNNNNNNNNNNNNNNNNNNNNNNNNAGAUAAUCAACACCCAACCAUAAACAAGCAAUAAAUCAAACACCCAUUAAGUUUACACACUAGGGUUGGAUGACAACCCUAGUGAAAAUCAAGCUACUCAUGCUUAAAUUGGAAGAAAAAGAAUAAAUGAUAAUUAAACACAUAUUGAUAAUUAAAAUGAUGAAAUCAAUAUUCAAAAAUCUCAAAAUAGCAAAAGAAACCGUCUAGUGUGGUUGUUGAUGUCAAAAGUUAACCUAAAAAAGUGAAACUCUUCUAUUUUUACAAUGCUAGAAUUUUCGGACAAAAAUGCCCUUUGGGAGGUUCUGCGGCUGUACAAUUCCAUGUGCGGUCCGCACUUUGCUUCAGCCUGACAGGAUUGGAAACCUGCAUCCGCACAAUUCUGAACUGCGGUUGCACUUCUCUCUUUCUGCGGACAACACAAAUAUCUCUGCGGCCGCACCAUGCUCUUUUGUGGUCCGCACAAAUGUGGUUGCGGCUGCAUCAUGCUCUUCUGCGGCCGCACUCUUGUUGAGCUUGAGAUGCAGGUUCUCUGAACUUUGGCUUUUACCCAGUUUCUGCGGCCGCACAAUUUCAUGUGCGGUCCGCAUCUUGCAACCUUCUCUGAUGGAAUUGCUUCAUGACCUGCGGCCACAGAUGGUAUUCUGCGGACCGCACUUUGAGCUUUUGUGUUGUUUUUGUCCUUAAGUUCAGAUUACUCAUUCUUAAAGUGGAUUUCAUCUUUGGAGUUCAUCUUCCAAUAUUUCUGAAAUUAAGCAUAUUUUAUCAAUUUUCGGGAACACAAUUAAGUGGUUUUGGACUAAAACGAAAGCAAAAAGACGCUAAUAAGUAGUCAAAAUCUCCACUUAUCAACUCCCCCAAACUUAAGCUUUUGCUUGUCCUAAAGUAAAUAAGGUAAUUCCCACCUCCACAAGUUAAGAGCCAUUCCAGCUAAUCAGAGAUAAAUCAAUCACACAUCAAUUGGGAUCAACAAUUACCCACGACACUUAUGAAUUAUCAACAAGACAACAAGUUAAACUUUUAAGCACGAAUAGUUCUAAUGUGACACUUGAGCAUCAAGAGUUGACUUUAUUCAUCAAGGAAGCUCGCUCUUUCAUGUAGGUCAUUAUGGAUCCCAAACUCCUCCUCCCCUACUCUUUUUUUUUCCUAUCUCACUUAAGAAUAUAACACUCAAUUCACAGGUUUGUGAAAGGUUCACUCAUCUCUCUCAAAAGAAUGUCGCAAUAUGGCUUUAAGUACCAUAGGCUUGCCCCUCAUGUGAAUCACCGCUAAUAUAAGCUUACUCGGCUUGAAAUCAUGUAGGGCUUUUUCGGGAUGCAAUGAAUGCUUUUGGAAUAAGAUUUGAUAAGCUAUGAUAGAACAGGUUUAUAUUUCCGUAAGCACUCCAAAUUCUUUUAUCGGCUCAUGCUUUUGCCAACUCUUUGAAGCAUUUUCUUUUCCUUAGGGGUACUAGAGAGACNNNNNNNNNNNNNNNNNNNNNNNNNNNNNNNNNNNNNNNNNNNNNNNNNNNNNNNNNNNNNNNNNNNNNNNNNNNNNNNNNNNNNNNNNNNNNNNNNNNNNNNNNNNNNNNNNNNNNNNNNNNNNNNNNNNNNNNNNNNNNNNNNNNNNNNNNNNNNNNNNNNNNNNNNNNNNNNNNNNNNNNNNNNNNNNNNNNNNNNNNNNNNNNNNNNNNNNNNNNNNNNNNNNNNNNNNNNNNNNNNNNNNNNNNNNNNNNNNNNNNNNNNNNNNNNNNNNNNNNNNNNNNNNNNNNNNNNNNNNNNNNNNNNNNNNNNNNNNNNNNNNNNNNNNNNNNNNNNNNNNNNNNNNNNNNNNNNNNNNNNNNNNNNNNNNNNNNNNNNNNNNNNNNNNNNNNNNNNNNNNNNNNNNNNNNNNNNNNNNNNNNNNNNNNNNNNNNNNNNNNNNNNNNNNNNNNNNNNNNNNNNNNNNNNNNNNNNNNNNNNNNNNNNNNNNNNNNNNNNNNNNNNNNNNNNNNNNNNNNNNNNNNNNNNNNNNNNNNNNNNNNNNNNNNNNNNNNNNNNNNNNNNNNNNNNNNNNNNNNNNNNNNNNNNNNNNNNNNNNUUAUUCACUUUCUUUUUGUAUUUUUCUUUUUGUUCUUUCUUUUUCUUGCCUUUCCUUCUUUUCAUUUCUUUUCUCUUUUUCUUGCCUUUAUUCCUUUUCUUUUCUUCUCCUUCUUUUCAUCCCUCCCCCAAACUUACAUUUUUAGCCAAUUGUUUCAUAAGAGUGUUAAGAAAAGCUCAGGUGCCAAGAGAGUGUCACAAAAAAAUGGGUAAAGGCUUAUAACGUGGUGAUCAAAUGAGAAAGGUUUUAGGCUCAAUAGGGUUAACUAGGGAUAACAACUUUGGUGGGCCAUGGAAAUUUUCAAACGGGUCAAGGAAAGCCUACAAUCACUUCUCAAGCCAAGCAAAACUUAAAAUUUUGCGUAGAAACAUAUUCGGGACAAGUUCUAGACCAUUUCCUCGGGUACUUGGAUUUGCACUAACAACAUCUCACCUCUCACGCAACUAGAUUGUUAAAGAGGAUAGAGUCGAGGGCCUACAAUGACCAUAUUCAAGAUUGAAAAAUACUAUGGUUUGACUAAACCACUCGAUGAUUGCCUAAGUCGACACAAGAGUCACAAGGUCACUAACUAGAGAUAUUUCUUUCCAAAAAUCUUAUUUUUAACCAUAAGCACGUAGUUAAGUGUGUUGGUACCAAGUGAAGCAUGUUUAACUCUCCGAUCCUGACUCAAUUAGGUCUUUUUAUUCAUUAUUACUACUAUUCUUACAUAAACACCAAAAACGGACUCAAUCCUUUAAGAAGGUUGUCAUGCCAUCCAUCGUUGGGAAAAGUCACCCGAUUCACACAAAAAUUACCUUUGGAAAGAACCGUGACAUUAAGAAAACUAAAGGCUUAUUGUUCACUAAAACAUAAAAAGAAGCUACAAAAUUAAAAAGUAAGACUACUAGAUUAAACUUAGACUAAUAAGAAAACAGAAUAAAGAAUCUAAAAANNNNNNNNNNNNNNNNNNNNNNNNNGAAUAAAAUAGAAUUGUCCCUAAUGCUUAAUAAAACAAGAAUAAAGAAGGGUAAGAGUGAAAAAGACUCCCUGUGUGGCCUUGGACACCUCCGUGUCUAUAGCAGCGUCACCGCCCUCAGUCUCCUCUAACUGGAUCUCAUCAUUACUGGCUUUGGGAGUAACUGGAUUGGUGAACAUCUGGCGCACUGCCUCAGAGGUAUCGGUAGCUAGGUCUGGCUCCUCAGACUAGCCAGCUGGUACCAUUGGAGCUGAUGGUGCUGGCAGGUCUGACCCUAUGAGCAUAUCAAAUGAAAGAUCAUCAGUUGCUGUUAUCUUGGUCACCUCUCUCCUCAGCCUGACACUGAUUUCCUGUACGCUUGGGAUUUCUUCAUUUUCUUUACCUGCUUCCCCAGCUCCUCAAUCACUGCUCCAUGUGCUACCAAGGUGUCCAUGAUGGUAGUCUGGUUUUCAAAGAUCUUCUUCAAUGUAUCCUCCAUUGUCGGAGGAGUCUAGGGUGCCAGAGUGGAUAACUGUGCUGCAACAACACUGGAUAUGUCAGACAGCUUUGCAAUGGCUAUCUGCAUCCAGUUGUUGAGGCUCGCCAGUGUUUGGGAGACUCACAACGCAUAUAGUGGAUGAGCGAGCAUGGGAACCGGCUUCAAAGCCGAUGUAGAAGGCACUGAUGCUGAAGAAGAAGGAAGUGGAGGCAUAGUUGUUGCACCAUCAGAAGGCUUUGCUGAAGUAGAUGGCAUGUCAACUGUCUCAGCAGCUACCCCGGCAGGAUCAUCAGACUGGCUUGCAGUAGUAGAGGGUUGACCCUUUUUCUUUGGGUUUCCACCACCCAUAAAAGAAUACCAUAGGAAGGGCUUAUUCGCCCCCACCUUAGUAUCAAAAUCCCUCGGCUCCACCCCCGCAUCUGUAAGGUACUCAGUGAUAGUGUUGGGAUACGGGUAGGAGGUUUUACCUUGCCUGGAGACCACAUGAAUAUUGGCCGAUAUCACGGCACCCACAUUGAUUGGGUACCUGACCAUGAUAGAAGCGACUAGAACUACCUGCUUAAUUGGAAGAUUUGUUUCAUUUUGGCACGGGUCUAGUCUACUACACAAUAAUGUUUGCCAUCCCUUUGCCUCAAAAUUUAGGGUGUUUCCCUGAAUGGGAACCCCUGUUGUGAUCCAUGCUGGAGGCGGCCCCGGAGCUGCAAGAAAUGCAGCUAGCCAUGGUCGAACCGAAUCUCCCAAUGCUAACUUUUCCAGGUAUUGCACAGGCUUAACAUCCUUAAACCUUAAAUACGUGUUCAGGGUGCUCUGAUCGAAUCUCACCUUUAGAUUUCUCACUUUUGUUACCUUGGUCCCUUUCUUUAUAUGCGCUACAUUGGAAUAAAAUUCCCGGACCAAGUAUUCCUUGGCAUUUACCACACUUUUGGUGAACCACAUCCACCCAUUCCGCUCCCAGAACUUUCUCAACACUGUCGGGUUGUAUUUGUCAAGGUUUUUUAUCAUGAACUGAUGCUCAAGAAUGAGCGAUCUUGUUGGCCACCACUCUCGAAAGCUUGUGAAAGCAGCCAGACUAACAAACCUAUCUUCCCAAAUCUCUUUAUUCUUCGACCUCUCAAGGCCGGUAACUCAGGUAUCACCCCCUCGGCCAUUAUUUGGAAUAUCAUUAACAUCCAUUGUAGUAGUAGGUGCAUCGGGAGCAUGUGUGAAUGAGGGCUCCGAAGCCUGACUAUCACCUUCCGAACCCUCGGAAGUGAUCGUACAGGAGGAAGGCUCGUCUCGAAGUUGGUAUCUGCCCUGUGGCUGUUGUGGCUGUGAUUGAACAACAGGCAGCUCUUGCAAUGAGUCACCCUCUGGCACUUCCCGAGAUAGGACAUAUGAACUAGACUCGGAAGGCUCGAGCUAUCUUCCUCAGCCUGAUGUGGCUUUCUUACUGAUUACCCUUUAGAGGGAGAGGGGUAAAUUUCUUUUGCCUCUGCCACUGAAAGGUUCACCCCUCCCCUUUGAUGUAUCAUCACGACCUCGUGAUCUAACCAUUUCUUAGCCAAUUUUUCUAAGCACAGUUCCUGUAAAGCACAUUCAUUCCUACAACAUACUUCAAAACCAGUUACCACAAAAUAAGACCUAUCUACGAAGAAGAAAAGAAAAAAAAAGAAACAUGAGUUGCCUCCCAAGAAGUGCCUAAUUUAACGUCGCGACACGACGCAGAUUACCAUCACUUCAAAUGAAUCACUGCCACCACGUGGCCAUCAUUAUCUUGUCCCAUAUAUGCUUCACCCAGUGACCAUUGACUCGGAAUACCUCAUUAUUUUUGUUCUUCAAGUCCAAUGCACCAAAAGGUGUCACAACCAUAAUUUCAAAGUGACCACUCCAUUUGAUUUCAGUUUUUCGGAAAAACAUCUUCAAUCGUGAGUUGAACAACAAAACAAGAUCUCCCACCUUGAACUCCUUAUUUCAGAUGUAUUUUUCAUGAAGGUACUUCAUUCUCUCCUUGUACAAGGAUGGACUUGCAUAUGCAUGGUACCGAAAUAAUCUAAUUCAUUCAAUUGUGCAACCCACAUGACUUUGUGCUCGAGUUUCACCGGAAAAUGACAAGCUUUGCCAAACACCAACCGAUAUGGAGACAUCCCGAUAUGAGUUUUGAAAGCAGUCCGAUAAGCCCAUAGUGCAUCAUCAAACUUCUUUGACCAAUCUAUCCGGUUAGCAUUCACUAUUUUGGAAAGAUACUCUUUAUCUCCCAGUUGGAGACUUCCACUUGACCGCUUGCUUGUGGAUGAUAGGUAGUCAUGACUUUAUGAGUGACAUCAUACUUGGUGAGUAAGGUAUCGAAAGCUUUGUUGCAAAAAUACUACCCCCUCCCCCCAUCGCUUAUGAUAGACCGCGGAGUACCAAAUCUUGUGAAAAUAUUCUUCUUCAAAAAUGCCACCACACUUCUCACUUUAUUGUUGGGUAGAGAAACUGCCUAAACCUAUUUAGACACAUAAUCAACCGCGACCAAGAUGUAGGUGUUUCCAUAAGAACUCACAAAGGGACCCAUGAAGUCAAUACCCCACACAUCAAAGAUACCAAUCUCCAAAAUGGUAGUGAGAGGCAUUUCAUUCUUCUUCGAGAUUCCACCGGCCCAUUGGCAUUCAUCACAUCUUUUCACCAUAUCACUUGUAUCUUUGUAGAGAGUGGGCCAAUAGAAAUCACAACCUAGUACUUUAGCCGUUGUUCUUGCUCCGCCAUGGUGACCACCAUAAGGUGAAUAGUGACAAGCCUUAAGAAUAACAUUUUGCUCUUCAUCUGGUACACAUAUUCUAAUUACCCCAUCUGUGCAAAUCCGAAAGAGGUACGGUUCAUCCCAAUAAUAGUCUUGACAAUACCAUUUUAGCUUCUUCCUUUGGUUUGAAGAGAACUCAUUCGGGAUGAUACCACUUACAAGAAAAUUUGAUGGAUCCGCGAACCGUGGCACCUCUUUCAUUGAAAUAGCCAAGAGUUUCUCAUCGGGGAAAUAGUUAUUGAUUUCAAGGCCAUCAUGCGGCCUCCCCUCCUCCUCCAAAUAAGACAAGUGGUCUGCCAUUUGAUUUUCACUCCCUUUCUAUCUUGGAUGUCUAUAUCAAACUCUUGCAACAAAAGCACCCAUCUCAUUAACCGGGAUUUGGAAUAUUUCUUACUAAUAAGAUAACAAAGUGCAGCAUGAUUCAUCUAAACAAUAACCUUUGCACCCAUUAAGUAUGGGCGGAACUUCUCAAUAGCAAACACAAUGGCAAAGAGCUCUUUUUGGUAAUGGUGUAAUUGACUUGGGCAUCAUUCAUGUUCUUACUAGCAUAGUAGACCGGAUAAAAAAUCUUGUUGAUACGUUGCCCCAAAAUUGCUCCAACCGCUACAUCACUAUCAUCACACAUGAGCUCAAAAGGAAUGCUCCAAUUAGGAGCAGUGAUAAUUGGAGUAGUUGUCAACUUGAACUUGAGUAAUUCAAAUACUCUCAAGCAAUCAUCAUUGAAGUGAAAUUUAGCAUCUUUCUAUAAAAACUUGCACAAGGGGUUCACCACUUUGGAAAAAGCCUUUAUGAAAUGCCGAUAGAACCCCGCGUGACCCAAGAAACUUCUCACGCCCUUCACAGAUGUUGGAGGUGGAAGUUUGGAAAUCACCUCUAUUUUUGCCUUGUUGACCUCUAUUCCCUUCUUUGAAAUCUUAUGGCCAAGGACAAUACCCUCCUCGACCAUAAAAUGGCAUUUCUCCCAAUUUACCACCAAGUUCGUUUCUUUACACCUUGUCAAUACCUUAUCCAAAUUUGCCAAGAAAUUAUCAAAGGAAUCUCCGACUACCGAAAAGUCAUCCAUGAAGACUUCAAGGUAGUCCUCUACCAUAUCCGUAAAGAUCGCCAUCAUACACCGUUGAAAAGUUGCAGGUGCAUUGUAUAAGCCAAAUGGCAUCCGCUUAAAAGCGAAAGUGCCAUAGGGACAAGUGAAAGUUGUUUUCUCUUGAUCUUCCGGGGCAAUAAAGAUUUGAUUGUAUCCCUAAUAUCCAUCUAGAAAGCAAUAGAACGCCCGACUGGACAACCUAUCAAGCAUUUGGUCAAGAAAGGGUAGUGGGAAAUGGUCUUUCCUUGUGACUUUGUUUAGCCUUCUAUAGUCCAUACACACUCUCCACCUGGUCACUGUUCUUGUUGGAAUCAAUUCGUUCUUAUCAUUGGUGACCACAGUUAUGCCCCCUUCUUCGGAACAUAUUGCACUGGAGAAGUCCACGAACUGUCAGAAAUGGGGUAGACCACCCCGGCAUCUAACCACUUUAUGAUCUCCUUUUUGACCACGUCUUGCAUGGAUUCAUUGAGUCUCAUUUGAUGUUCAAUGGAGGGUUUGGCAUCUUCCUCCAAGUAAAUCUUAUGCAUGCAAAAUGCGGGGCUUAAUCCCCGAAUAUCCACCAAAGUCCACCCAAUAGAUUUCUUCCUCUUGUGGAGCACCGCCAAUAAAGAGUCAACCUGCACGUUAGUCAAACAAGAAGAAAUAAUAACUGGUAAAGUAGAGAAAUGGCCAAGGAAUUCAUACCUAAGAUGUGGAGGUAAUGGCUUCAACUCCAAGAUAGGAGGCUCUUCAAUUGAAGGCUUUGUAGGAGGAGUUUUUCUAUUCUAAAGAUCCAAAGAAAGUUUUUGAGGUGCAUAAUUAUACGAACCCAUCCCUUGAAAAGAAUUAACACAUUCCAUGAAGCCAUCCAUCUCAUCAUCAUCAAAAUUGAGCAAAACGGACUCCAACAUGUCACCCACAUUAAUCGUGGUACUUGUAUCAUCAAUAAUCAUAUCGGUCACUAAGUCCACGAACGAAUACACUUCAUUGCUAUUCGGUUGCCUCAUAGAUUUGCACAUGUGGAACACCACGUUUUCAUCACCCACCCGGAAAGUGAGUUCACCGGCUUUCACAUCACAAAAAGCCUUCCCCGUAGCAAGGAAAGGUCUACAAGAAUAAUCGGCACCUCAUAGUUCACUUCACAAUCAAGAAUAACAAAAUCCAUCGGGAGAAUGAACUUGUGAACGCGAACCAAUACAUCCUCAAUCACCCCCAACGGUCUCUUCAUUGUACGAUCGGCCAUUUGUAAUCUCAUAGAUGUGGGUCUUGGUUGCCCAAUUCCCAAUGUCUAGAAAAUUGAAUAGGGCACCAAGUUGAUACUCGCCCCAAGAUCACAAAGAGCUUUUGCAAACUCGGCAUUUCCAAUGGUACAAGGAAUUGUAAAAGCACCGGGAUCUUCCAACUUAGGAGCCAUCGAGUGCACAAUUGCACUCACUUGGUGAGUGACUGAUAGUUUCAAAAUUCAUUGAUGUCUUCUUUGUCACCAAGUCCUUCAUAAACUUUGCAUAUCCGGGCAUUUUCUCUAAGGCUUUAACUAAUGGCACAUUUAUAGAGAGACUUUUUAUCAUAUCAAUGAACUUCUUGAAUUUAUUCUCGCCAUUUUUCUUGGCAAGCCUUUGAGGAUAGGGAGGAGGUGGCUUACGCAAUGGUGCCUUAGCUUUUUGCACUACUGGUUCCGGUAUGUCAAUCACAUGAUCCCUAGAUGGGUUCACAUCCUCUUGAGUCUCUUCCACUGUGUCAUCAAUAUCAAUCCGCAUUUCAUCAUUUGCUUGCACGACAUUGUUCGAGGUUUCCUCUUCUUCUACCACUUGCUCAUCGUCCACAAGUUGCCUUUGACUUGAGGUAGGUGCAUCCCCACCUCUUCCACUUCUUGUAGUAAUGGCCAUGGCAUGCCCCGUAUUGUUCCCACCCUUCGGGUUCAUCACCGUAUCACUUGGUAGUGCCCUCUUAGGACAAAAAUUUAAAGCUUGAGAGAUUUGACCCAUCUGCACUUCUAAGUUUCGGAUUGAUGUGUUGUGUGAAGCAAAUCGGGCAUCGGAAUUGGCAUUCUUCUCUAUCAUUUGAUUGAACAUACUCUCAAUACGACCCAUUUCAUUGUUAGAGGAACUAGGACCAUAAGAAGGAUAAAGAGUUGGGUUGCUUGGUUAUUGAUACAUCAGGUGCCUUUGAAACCCCGACCCUGAUUCCCUUGAUUGUUGUUCCUCCCGCCUUGGUUGUUGCCUCCCCAAUUGCCUUGGUUAUUAUUGUUUUGCCAAUUUCCUUGGUUAUUGCUUCCAUUCCAAUUGCCUUGAUUGUUUCUACUAUUCCAAUUACCUUGGUUGUUAGAUUUCCAAUUGCCUUGAUUAUUCGAAGGUCUUCAUUGUUGUUGACUAGGGCUUUGGAAGUUGUUUCUUUGCCCUUGAAAGUUGUUCACAUAUUGGACCUCUUCUUCUUGAUCAUUGUACGAAUCACCUUGAUCAAAUCCGCUAUCAUCUUCCAAAAAAUUGUCUACUCUUUGUUGCACUUGUGGACUUCUUGUUCUUCUCUUAUUUACCUUCAUAUUGACUCCCUCCAUAGCAUUGACUUGCCUUGGGUUUUGAGUUUGUUGAAGUUGAGCCUUUGCCAAUUGGUUCAUGGUGGUUGUCAACUCGGCUAUGGCUUGCCCAUGGUCAUGUAACACUUUAUGAAGAAAAAUCACAUUUGGAUCACUUUGUGGAACAUUGGCUCUAGAUUGCCACACCGAUGAAGUAUUCUCCAUCUCAACAAAAAUAUCGUACGCAUCUGCAUAAGGCGUAGUCAUGAAGUUCCUCCCGGCAAGUUGAUUCGCUACACAUUGGUUGGUGGUAUUGAUCCCCCGAUAGAAAUUUUGUUGAAUCAUAUUCUCCGUCAUAUCAUUAUUGGGGCACUCUUUCACCAUUGUCCUAUAUCUUUCCCAUAUCUCGUGUAGUGGUUCUUGGGCUUUUGCUUGAAUGCUAGAAUUUCAUCCCAAAGAAUGGCCAUGUGCCCGGGAGAGAAGUAAUUUGAAAUGAAUUUCUCCCCUAGUUCAUCCCAAGUACGAAUUGAAUGAUUUGGCAAAUGUUCCAACCAAUCUAAAGAUUUCCCCCGUAGAGAGAAAGUAAAAACCCUUAGCCUCAAAGAAUCCUCGGAGACAUUUGUUUAAUUGCUCCCCCAACACAUAUCAACGGACCCCUUCAAGUGUUUAUAUGCAUUUUUUCUCGGUGCACCGGUGAAGAACCCUCGUUGCUCAAGCAAAGUGAGCAUCACGUUGGUUAUUUGAAAGUUGCCCGCCCUAAUAUGGGGUGGGACUAUAGAACUUGCAUACCCUUCAUUCGGCAACACCCGGUGUGGAGCCGCUCGUGGUGGAGGUAGGGGUGGAACGGGUACAUUGUCUUGAGGCGGUCGGCCUCGUCUAUUGGCUUGAGGUUUAAGAGGGACCUUAUCCAUUACAUCACCAGCAACGUCCACAUCCCCCACGGCUAUGUUUUCGAGCUCAUUGUUUGCCAUGAUUGCACCUACAAUACUCACACAUUAGUAACAAGGAAGGAAAAGAAGAUAUUCCAAAAACACACCUAAAUAUAUAACUAACACCGUUUUUUAGCUCCCCGGCAACGACGCCGAAAAUUGAUCUCGUCCAAUUUUACUCCUUUAUUUGAGGAUAUUAAAACGGUUGAUGCAAUAGUAAUACCCAACAAGAGUCGGGGUCGAAUUCCACAGGGAGCUAUGUGAAUGGGUGUUAGUAGUAUAUAUCUUAGUGCGUGAGUUUGUAUAUCUAAAUUUGCACUUCCGCAAUAAAUGGUUUUGUUUGAAAAUCUCAAUUAAACUACGAUUGCGAUUUAAAAAUUAAAACAAGGAAAUUAUUAUUUGUUAUUUUUCAAAUGAUAUAAAAGGCCUAGGGCUAUGACCUUCACCUAGGUGUUUGCCUAAUGGGUUGUAAACUUUAAAUCUUGUUUUAUUGGUCGGGGUGUAUUAUAGCUAUCAAUACUCAAGUACUCACUACCUCUCGGUCAGAGAGUGAUUUUGCCCAAUUUGGCCUUUUCAAGUCCAAAUGGGUAUUAAAUAAAACAGUUGAUAAUAAGCUCAAGUCGGGUUUUACUAUCUCUAGGUUCAACUCUUUAAUUGGGCUUAUCAAUCUCUCGAUUGACCAAAUUUCUUGCUAGCCCAGUUUUUCUAGACUAAGUCUCUCUUUCUCAAGUAGAGACCAAGUAAAAUAGGCAUGAAAUAAUAUUUGCAACUAUUAAUUCUUCACAUAAAAUCAAGAAAUAGGCUAGAUAAUCAACACCCAACCAUAAACAAGCAAUAAAUCAAACACCCAUUAAGUUUACACAAAGCUACUCAUGCUUAAAUUGGAAGAAAAAGAAUAAAUGAUAAUUAAACCCAUAUUGAUAAUUAAAAUGAUGAAAUCAAUAUUCAAAAAUCUCAAAAUAGCAAAAACUACUAAAAAGAGCAAAAUAAACCGUUUAGUGUGGUUGUUGAUGUCAAAAGUUAACCUAAAAAAGUAAAACUCUUCUAUUUAUACUGUGCUAGAAAUUUCUGACAAAAAUGCCCUUUGGGAGGUUCUACGGCCGCACAAUUCCAUGUGCGGUCCGUAUUUUGCUUAAGCCUGACAGGAUUAGAAACCUGCAGCCGCACAAUUUUGAACUGCGGCCGCACUUUUCUCUUUCUGCGGACAACACAAAUAUCUCUGCGGCCGCACCAUGCUCUUCUGAGGUCCGCACAAAUAUGGUUGCAGUCGCAUCAUGAUCUUCUGCUGCUGCACUCUUGUUGAACUUGAGAUGCAGGUUCUCUGAACUUUGGAUUUUACCCAGUUUCUGUGGCCACACAAUUUCAUGUGCGGUCCGCAUCUUGCAACCUUCUCUGAUGGAAUUGCUUCAUGACCUGCGGCCGCAGAUGGUAUUCUACGGACCGCACUUUGAGCUUUUGUGUUGUUUUUGUCCUUAAGUUCAGAUUACUCCUUCUUGAAGUGCAUUUCAUCUUUGGAGCUCAUCUUCCAAUAUUCCUGCAAUUAAACAUAUUUUAUCAAUUUUCGGGAAUACAAUUAAGCGCUUUUUGUACUGAAGGAUGUGUUAUGUGAGGCAAGCUGGGCAUCCGAAUCGGCAUUCUUUUCCAUCAUUUGCUUGAACAUUUUCUCGAUAUGCCCCAUCUCAUUGUUUGAAGAACUAUGACUAUGGGAAGGAUAAAGAGGCGGGUUGCUCGGUUGUUGAUACAUCGAGGGACUUUGAAAACCCGACCCCCGAUUGCCUUGAUUAUUUUUCCAUCCGCAUUGAUUUUUACCCCACCAAUUUACUUGAUUAUUUCUACUCCAAUUUCCUUGAUUGUUGUUGUUAUGCCAAUUCUCUUGAUGGUUUCCACCACUCCAAUUUCCUUAGUUGUUAGAAUUCCAAUUGCCUUGAUUGUUUUGAGGUCACCAUUGUUGUUGGUUUGGGCCUUGGAAGUUGUUUCGUUGCCCUUGAAAGUUGUUCACACGUUGCACCUCCUCUUCUUGUUCAUUGUAAGGAUCUUCUUGAUCAAAACCACUAUCCCCUUGCACAUAAUUUUUCAUUCGAUGUUGCACUUAUGGACUUGUUCCUUCUUUUGAUCACCAUCAUGUUCACUCCCUCAAUAGCAUUGACUUGCUUAGGAUUUUGCACUUGUUUAAGUUGAGCCUUUGCUAAUUGAUUCAUUAUGGUAGUCAAUUCGGCAAUGGCUUGCCCAUGGUCAUGCAACUCUUUGUGAAGGUGGAUCACGUUGAGAUCACCAUGAGGAACAUUAGCCCGAGAUUGCCAUGCCGAUGAUGUUUUCGCCAUUUCAUCUAAAAUCUCACACGCCUCCGCAUAAGGUGUAUUCAUGAAGUUCCCAUCGGCAAGUUGAUUCACUACACAUUGGUUGGUUGUGUUGAUCCCACGAUAAAGAGUUUGCUGAAUCAUAUUCUCUGUCAUAUCGUUGUUGGGACAUUCCUUAACCAUUAUUCUAUAGUGUUCCCAUAUCUCAUGUAGUGGUUCAUUUGGCUUUUGCUUGAAUGCUAAAAUCUCAUCCCGAUGUAUAGCCAUGUGCCCCAGAGAGAAGAACUUAGAAAUAAACUUUUUCGCCAAUCAUCCUAAGUGUAAAUGGAAUUGUUCGGCAAACGUUCCAACCAAUCUAAAUAUUUUCCCGUAGAGAAAAGGGAAAAAGCCUUAGCCUCAAUGUAUCCUCGGAGAUAUUUGUUUGUUUGCUCCCCCAACAAGUGUCCACAAACCCCUUCAAAUGUUUGUAAGUAUUUUGACUUGGAGCACCGGCGAAGAAACCUCGUUGCUCUAGCAAAGUGAGCAUCACAUUAGUGAUUUGAAAGCUACCCGCCCUAAUACAGGGAGGGACUAUUUCACUAGCAUAUCCUUUAUUGGGUAACACACGGUGUGGAGCCGCUCAUGGUGGAGGUGGGAGUGGAACGGGAACAUUGUCACGAGGCACUCAGACUCUUCAAUUGGCUUGAGGUUCAAGAGGAACCUCAUCCACUUGCUCUUCCUCGACGUACACAUCCCCUAAAGCAAUAUUUCUGAGCUCAUUAUUUGCCAUGGUUGUACCUAUGAUUUCUCAAACAAGUUAGUAACAUGGAAGGAAAAGAGGAUAUUCCAAAAACACCACCCAAAUAUAUAGCUAACACCGUUUAUAACGGCGCCAAAAAUUGAUCACGCCCAAAGCACACCUCAAUAGAGAUAUGAAACGGUCGUAUGCAAUAAUAGAAACCCAAGUAAGAAUCGGGGUCGAAUCCACAUAGAGCUAAGAUUGGAGUUAGGGGUAUAUAUGUUAAUUUGCAUAAUUGGAUUAUCUAGAUUGCACUUCCACACAAAGAUUUGUUUUCUAUUUCUAAUUUUACUCUAAUGAUGUUAAAAUAAAGGAAGAAGAAUAGAGAAAAUUAUUUUUAAGGUUUUUUCAAAUGGAUAAACUGCCUAGGGCUGUGACCAUAACCUAGGUGUUUGCCUAAUGGGAUAAAGACUUUAAUGCUUAUUCUGUUGAUUGGGGUGUAUUAUAGCUAUCAACUCUAAAGUACCCACUCAAUACCUCUUGGUCAGAGAGUGGUUUUGCCCACUUUGGCUUUCUCAAGACCAAAUGGGUUUCACACAAAACAGUUGAUAAAAGCUCAAGUCGGGUUAUUUCUAUCUCUACAUUAAACCUUUUAAUUGGGUUAAUUAAUCUCUUAAUUGACCCAAAUCCUUGUUAGCUAAGUUAUCCUAGAGUAGGUCCCUCUUUCUCAAGUAGAGACUAAGUCAAAUAUACAUGAAUUAAUAUUCGCAACCAUUAAUUCUAUAAUUAAAGCAUUAACAAAGCUAAAUAAUCAACACCCAAUCAUAAACAAGUACUAAACUAGAUACUCAUAAGGUUUACACACUAGGGUUGGGUCACAACCCUAGUAAACAUCUAGCUACUCAUAAUUGGGUUUGAAGAAAAUAAAGAAGAAAGACUAAUUAAACUCAUAAUGAAAACUUAAAAUGAUUAAAUCUAUUGUAAAUACACCAAAACAAAGUAAACUUUCCUAAAAUAGCAAAGAAAAACGGCUACAGCAACUUUAGAGAUUCAAAGCCGAAAAUCUCGGACAAAAAUGCCCUUCAGGAGGUUCUGUGUUUGCACAAUUUCAUGUGUGGUCCACAGUUUCUUCAUCUGGCAGGAGCUGGAGCUCUGCAAACGCACAUUUCUGAACUACACCCGCAAGGCAAAUUUUUUGUGGUCCGCAUAUUUAGAACUGUGGCCGCAAGGCACUCUUCUGCGGUCCACAGAUUUAGGACAGUGGCCGCAAGACACUCUUCUACGGCUGCACAAUUCUUGUGUUGUCCGCGAUUCGCAGAGGCUCCCAAAAUGUCUGCUACAUUGUUUUCUCUUUGUUUGCGGCCGCAUAUGGAAUUCUGUGGUCCGCAAUUUCUUCUACGGUCACAGAAUUCUUUCUGCGGACCGCACAUUUGUGUUUUCGCGGCCUUUAUUGCCUUGUGCUUCGAACUUCCUCUUUUUGAGUCGGGUUUCAUCUCGGGAGACCAACUUCCAGCAUUCCUACAAUUUUGCAUAAUUUCAUUAGUUUCGGGAACACAAUUCAAUACUUUUAGACUAAAACUAAAGCUAGAAGACAUUAAUAAGCAGUUAAAAUACCCACUUAUAAGACAUCGGAGGUAAAUGGCUAUGCCCACUGGAGCAGAUAAAACCCGAGCAACCUUCAGCACCAUAAACUCGUCCCUGAGCCGGAGAAGCGAGUCGGAAUCAGGCACCCAGGAGUUGGUACUCUUCUUAGGAUUACGAGCCACCCUCUUCUUUGGCUUCACCUCAAGACCCAGGUAGCCCGAGGGAUUUCUCUUCCUCUUAUUCUUUUCCCUUGUGGCAACCCCUGGUUGUUCAGUAACGGAGGGAUCAAUGGACAAGGACACAUCCUCAUCCCCUUGCAAAGGCCUAAGUUCGGUGGUCUUAGUCAAACCUAUAAAAGAAAGAAGAAAGGUCAGUAUGAUGUGAGUUAAGAACAAGGUAAUAGAUGUUCAGAGGAGAACCUUACCGUGAGAACAUGCCUCCUAUCGGACCUUUAAAAGCUUGCGCCAUGAGCGCUCGAAGUAUGACAUCUGCUUGCAGAUGCUUUCAAUCCAUUCCUUGAGCCAGGGGACUGCAUUUGGAACCCGGGCCACAGCUGCACAACCAUAAAUACAAACGAUGAGAGAGGAAAUGAAGAAAAAUUAACACUUAAGGAAAGGCUGCACUUACGAGAUGCAUUCCACUUUUCGGGGAACGGCGUGAACUCGAGAGGAAUAAAGUCUUCAGCCUUCACCCGAAUGAAGCGCCCCUGCCAGUGUCGGUCUCGAUCUUCGUCAAUACUCGAAAAUAAGGCCUUGCUGUCCCGGUGAGUGAGCUUGAUUAAUCCCCCUCAGAAUAUUCGGGGAAUGCAUAGACAGAGCAGGUGGUCAUGGGUGAACUAACGAGAAUCGAUGUUAUUCGCAAAGUAACGGAGAAGGAUAAUGAUCCUCCAAAUAGACGGGUGGAUUUGCCCGAGGCACACUUUGUACCUCUUAUAGAAGGCCAAAACCAUCGGGUCUACCGGGCCCAGCGUGCAUGGGUAAGUGUAAAUACUUAGGUACCCCUCCAUGUGAGUAGUAAUAUCAUCUUCUGUCCUGGGGACCAUAUGUCCUUGCCUUACCAUUUGCAGUCCUCUAGGACCACGGGAAGGACAUCUUCGGUCUCGUGCAUAUAUAUCUGCAUGCUCCUUCACCCCAAUCUUAUUUGGAUGAGGGUUUCUUUACUUUAAAGUCGUAGGCGAUCGAGCAACACCCGGGUAUAAAGAUUUUCAUGGGAGGCUUAGGGGUAGCCACUUCGGGAGCGGCCACCUCAUGAAUAGCCGCCUUGGAAGCAGCCACAUCGGCAUUCGUGGUCAGGUGGGAAGAUGAAGAGGCAGCCUAUUAGGGAACUGAUUUGGAUGUUUUAGCUAUUGCUAUCUCAUAAUUUUUGAAAAUUUGAAGAAAAGGUAUGAAAGUUUGAAAGAAAAAGUUUGAAGGCUGAACAACAGGGGUAUGAAGAUUUGAAGAAAAUUUGGGUAAGAACCUAAUAACAAUUAUAAAGAUUUGAAGAUCAAAGAUGAAGAUAUGAAGGUUUAAAAGAAGUUGAUGAUAGCUAGAAAAUUCGAAGGUGGAAGGUUGAUCGGAAAGUGGAAAAAAAGCAAAGGGUGGAAGCUUUUAUAGGGGAGGUACGCAAUGCUUCGCAUUCGGAGGCAACCGGCCGAUGGUUAACACGUGUCCGAAGUCAGAACGGCAUGACCGAUGGGAUGUUUCGACUUCUUCGUCAUUUCGGUUGUAACGUACGAAGGAAGGAACUGGAGAACAUCUGCCAUUUAUCAUUGUUUCGGCAAACCUACUCACUGAGAAACGAGGGGGCUAUCUAUAUACGGGUAAAACCGGGGCUAAUGAUCACCCUGAUUUCCCAGUGGGACCAUCGAGACCACGCCCCCUGGAGCCAUUGAGACCACGCCCCCCGGUUCCGGUUCAAGUUCCAAGACCUCGGAAAAAUAUUGCCAAAUGGUUGCACAUGACUAACGAAGGGUCGUGAUAUCCGCGCCCAACCGGAUAUCACAGCACAAAUCUCGGCUUGUAUCGGCAGCAGAUCAUUGAUUAACGAAAAAGAGAAUUUUUACCUUUCUUAGAAUUGUACUAGGGAUGAAACUCUCCUACUAUAUAAAGGAGAUGAUUUUAUUCAAUGGGGGCACUGUAAACACACAUAUCAAGACAAUAUAAUUUUAUUUUUACUACUCUCUAGCUAUAGAAAAGUUAUUACUUUACUGUUUGUUAUUCAUUCUCUAUUGGAUCCGAAUCGAGGGCAAAAUCAUUGUACAAUCCAAGUUCAAGUUGUGCCAUAGCAGUAUAACUGGUUUGAUUAUUAAUUCUUCCUUUUAUUUGUUUAUCUAAUAUUCUUAAUUACUGGUGUUGAAUCAAUUCACAUAUCCUUAAGGUCCGCCGGAGAAUAACACUGUAUUGGAUGAUAAAAUAUUUUAUUUUUACUAUAUGUUGAAUCCCUUGGCUUUUCAGUGUACUUAACCUUUUAUAUUUUGAUAAUCCUUAGUGAAAAUUCUAGCUCCUAAACAUAGAAAGUCAUUAUUUAAGGUAAAGGAUUUAUAGCAGUAUUUGAUUCAAAGUAUCUUCCUAAUAUGUUCACCAAAUUAUAUCGUAUAUAUAGGCCUAGUUUAUCCUCUAUUUUUCUUCCCACAUUUGGAGUUUACCCCCUCAUUUGUGCCACUGACGUAAAAACUUUUAUUGCUUUAAAUUAAAAGUAAAUUUUAAUUGUAUGCUCUACCAAGAUUUUGAACUUCAUACAAUUGCGUCUGUGUUAGCCAGUAACAAUACGUAAUAUAGAAACAGUGCAAAUAAGUAAUAAAGGAUACAAUUUAGUUAGUUUAGAAAAAGGGUUAACUUUUGGGGUUGGGCUUGAAAAACAUAUGUUUUUUAUUACUGCCUUUCCUCACCAAAAAUCUUUACUUUGGGAAAGCUAUCACAUUUUUUCUUUUUGGAAAUUUGCUUCAAAUUUUAAAAUUGUCACAAUUAUACUUUUAACAUUUUUCAUGUUAAAUAAUUAUGGUUUUCCCAUGCUAAUCAAAUCGACCGCUUUUACCUCUAACCUAAUUAUUGAACAAUUCUAUCCUUAAUUACCUUAACAAAUUAGAAUUAGAUUAUAUUUUUCGUAAUGAUUUCUCCAGAAAGUGGGUGAAAAGAACUUUCUAGGUUUGACUUUUUUUUUUAAUUAAAGGUCACUAGGUUGUGUAUCUCCUAGUGGCUAUUUUAUUAAUAAAAGGAUAAAAGUCUAACAAGACCAAAAGGUCUUAAAAGGAAAAGUAGAUAGAAAUAAAAAGCUAAGCUAAGUGAGCAUUGAAAAUAUCGGCUAGGUGAUUCCAUUGAAAAGUAGAUACCAUUGUUCCUCCAAGUUUGUCCUUCUUGAUGCUGCAAAGAUCUCAGGUUUGUUGUUUGCACUCCCUUUUGAUUUUCCCCAUUUGUGGUUUGAAUUUGUGUCCAUCUUGGUUGUGUCAAUCUGGUUGUAUUUGCUCUGGAUCUGCUAUGAAAUUAUGUGAUUUUCUUCGAUGUGUCUCCAUUGGUUUCUAUUCAGCAGCUCUUUGUUGUGUGUGUGUGUGUGUGUGCUGUAAUCUUGUUUCCAUUUUUCCUCUUGUUUUCGUGCGAUUCACCUCUUUUAUCUGCUCAUACUUGUAAAAUUGUGGCUUCUUAGUUGAUCGUGUUUGUGUGUGCCUGUGCUUUGUUGUAUUGUUGUUUGCAUGUCUUUUUCUUUGUUUCUGAUUUGCGUCGUUCUUUCUCGUUAUCAAAGUGUAUUGUUUGUGCUUUCUAAUAAAAGCCCCCUGCCUAUAGUACCUGCACAUAGAACAACUAUGCUAGUGAAAAAAGGGAUCUCUAUUCUCUCCUUCCUAGGAACUUGAGGAUUUUAAUCAUUCCAAUUCUUGUUUCUCCUUCUUCCAAUCUCUGCCCCUUGCUUUCUUUUAUCUCCCACAUACGUCAUCAUCUUCUACAGUUCCUUACUCUAAGAUAUGGUAUAUUACCCUUGUCACUGUUUAUGAGCUUUCUUCUCCUUGUCUCAAUUUCUACAAAGCUAUUAGUAGAGUAUUCUCCUUUGUCCAGAGCUAAAUUCGCAAGGAAAUCUGCAAGUUUGUUCCCUUCUCUGAAUAUAUGACUAAUCAUCACAUUUCUUUCGCCCAUGAUCCUCCAAAUUUCCUCCAUUAUAUUGAUGAUUUGCCAAGGACUUUGCCACUUCCCCUCAAUUAUAUUUUUCAUCAACAUAGAAUCAGUUUCUACAAUCAUUUGUGGAAUAUGUAUUUUUUCCAUGUACUUUAGUGCCUGCAUAAUAGCCUCUGCUUCAGCCUAAGUAUUAGAGUAAUUUCCAUCCUUUAUCUCAUAAGAUUAAGCAUAUAUCAGAUCCAUAUUUGUAUUCCUGAUACAAAAACUCCAAGAACUUCUACUUGGAUUUCCUUUAGAUGCCUCAUCAGUAUUGCAUUUUACCCAUUUUAUAUCUAGUGGCCUCCAACAUACUUGAUAUAUCUUCAAUUUUGGGGAGUAAGAAUGCAAUAAUUUUAAUAGCUCAAACCGGUUAAAUGGGGCAUACUUAAAGUUUCUCCUUCGUCUUCAUGAAUAGAAUUACAUUAUGCAUGAUCUUGUACUUCAGUUUAUUAACAGACAUCAUCCCUCCAUGUUAUAGAGUGUUUCUUCUCUUCCAAAGCUCCCAUAUUAUAAAUGCUGGUAUAAUCUGGUAAAUCAUCUUAAUAUGUUGGCUCUUUGGUAAUUCCCACCAUGCUGUUAUAAUUUGUGUUAGAUGCAUUCCAGAGAUAUUAAUACCAACAGGUCCACAAAAAUAUUUCCAGAUCACCUGAGCUACAUUAGAAUUUAGGAACACAUGAGAUAUAGUUUCCUCUUGUGGACUUUGAUAGCAGCUACAUCUAGAUACAAAUUGGAUGCCCCGUUUCUUUAAAGUAUCAUCCAAUGGUAAUUUUGUUUGCCACAGUCUCCAUAUGAGGAAACUACUCUUAAUAGGAAGACCUUUCACCCACAUGUAGUCAUAUACUUUGCUAGGCUUCUUUCUUUGUCUCAUCAUUUGAAAAGCAGAACUUACUGAGAAAGUACCCCAAGAAUUUAUCUUCCAAAAUGGUUUGUCCAGUACUUCCCCUCAUGUAGGUAGUCUAACUUUUUUAAUAAUAUAAUUAGACAUCUCCUCAGGUAACAACUCCCUUAUCGUCCCCUCUUUCCAUCUUCCAUCUUCCUGCACUUCUUGAACCAGUAUCACUGUAAAAUCGCAUUGAAAGUUUGGUGGCAUAAUUUGAUAUAGAGCUCCUAGACCAGACCAAUUGUCUAACCAGAAAUUACUAUUUCCUUGCUUUAGAUGCCUUUAUAUUUCAUGGUCCAUUACAUCUCUACACUGUAGCAUCUUCUUCCACACAUAAGUUCCUAUUUUUCACUGUGCCAAGAUAGCAUUUUAUGUUUUUAGGCACUUGUUGCUUAUAUAUGUCCUCCAUAAGGAUUAUUUUGGUCUAUAAUUCUACCAUAACUUAGCAAACAAGGCCUUGGACAUAUCUUGCAAACACCUGAAACCCAUUCCUCCUUGGGGUGGCAUAGGGUGGUCCAAGAGGUCCAAUGCUUGUUAGAAUUCCCAACAGAGUUACUCCUGAACAAUUUUGCAAAUAGCCUAUGAAUCUGUGCCAUGACUCAUGCAGGUGGAUCACAAGCUGAGAGUAAAUGAAUUGGAAUGCUCUGUAGGACAUGGUUAAUAAGUGUAGAUUUUCCACCUAUUUAGAGUAGUUUGCCAGUCCAUAAGCUUAGCUUAUUCUGUAUCUUUUCAAUAAUCUCUUUGAAAUAUGAUAUUCUUCUUCUUCUUCCGUAGUAAAUUGGUACCUCUAGAUAUGUAAAGGGGAGCUCCUUUCUAGGAAUGUUUGUUUCUUAUACCACUCUGUUAACCACUAUCUGAGUAACAGAUUGGUGCAGGUAUAUUGCACUCUUCUCCUUAUUAAUAUUUUGGCCACUAACCCUCUCAUAAUUUGCUAAAAUCUCCAUCACCAAUUUCAAAGAUUGUGGUUGAGCAGAUGUGAAGAUAAUAGUAUUGUCUGCAUAUGCCAAAUGAUUGAUAUAAGGGGUCCACUUUGGCAUACCAUAUCCCACAUAUCCUUCUUUGUGAUGUAGUUGAUUCAGAUCUCUGGUUAUACAUUCUGCGAUAAUGAUAAAUAAAGCAGGUGAUAAUGGAUCACCUUGCUUUACUCCUCUGGAGGAUUUAAAGAAACCUUGUGUGUGGCCAUUAAUUAGAAUAGAAUACCAAUUGUUUGAAAUGAUUUUGUAGACCAUGUCUAUAAGCAUCUCUCUAAAAUCCAUUUUCGUGAGCAAUUUUGUUAAAAAAGCCAAGAAUCCCUGUCGUAAGCCUUUGCCAUAUCUAGUUUUAUCACUAUUUUGGCAGGAUUACCCCUUAUUCUUAUCUCCUGUAUAAUUUUCUAAAUUAAUAAAAUAUUUUUCACUAUACUUCUACCUUUCAAAAAGCAUGUCUGUUGAGGUGAUAUUAAUUGAGGCAAUAGCUUCACUAAUCUUUCAUGAAUGAUUUUGAAAAAUACUUUAUUAAUAAAGUUACUCAUGUUGAUUGGCCUUAGAUCUAAAAAUGUAACCACCUCCUUCUUCGUAAGUAAUAAUAAUAGAUUAGUGCAAGUAAUAUACCUUGAUAGUUCAUGUCUACAGAAGAAAUAUUGUACCAUAGUAAUGAUAUCAUUAUCAAUGAUAUCCCAUGUUGCUUGGAAAAACUUUCUAGUGUAUCCAUCAGGACCCCCUCACUAUUAGCAUUUAACCCAAACACAACUUCCUUAAUUUCUGCAAUUUCUAGAAUAUCCUGAAUCACUCUGUUCUGUUCCUCAGAAAUCAGCUUUGGAAUAUGGUCCAGCAGUUCAAAAUCAGUAGCAUUAGUUUCUGCAGUAAAGUGUUAUUGGAAGAAAUUAAUAGCCUCCUCUGCAUUAUCUUCUUCUCUUUCUAGCUAUACUCCAUUUUGAUUUUGAAUUCUAUUCAAUUGUAGCUUCUUCCUUUUUCCUUGUACAUGAUCAUGGAAAAGCUUUGCAUUUCUAUUGCCAUCCUUGAACCAUUGCAUCCCAGAAUUCUGUUUCCAGAAUUAUUCUUCAACAACAUACAAUUCAAUCAGCUCAGCUUGAAAUUUUUAUAAUCUUUCUCUAUUAGUUCUUGUAGGAUUUUCUUCAAAUUCUUGCUCAUGUAUUUUGACAACCUCUUCUAAAGUAUCUAUCUGUCUGAAUAUGUCUCUAUAAGUAUCUCUACUCCAUUUAGACAGAACUUUACUCAGCUUUCUCAGUUUACUAUGAAAGUUAAAGAAAUGGUCUGACCCAUGAUAUCAUGUCCAAUUAUCUUUCACCACAUCCCCGAAGGUAGGGUGCUCAAUCCAAAAAUUAAGAAAUCUGAAUGUUUCCUUAAUUACUCUACUAUCUACUUUACAGGUAAGUAGCAUAGGUGAGUGAUCUGACCCCUUCUUAAUAAGAUGCUCAACCUUAAUGUUAGGAUCGAUAUUCUGAAGCUCCUGAUUAGCCAGAUACCUGUCAAGUCUCUUGAAUAUGCAGUGUUCAUCUGACCUACCAUUCCACCAAGUAUACAUGCUAUCCUUAAAGCCCAAAUCAGUGAGUUGGCAAAUAUUAAUGCAUUGAUUGAAAUCCUCUACUUCCACAAAUGAUACCUCCAACCCUACAUUCUUCUUUAUUUCAUCUACUAUCACAUUAAAGUCACCCCCAACUAACCAAGGUAGAUUAUUGCCAUCUAAAAUAUGAUACAGAUCAUUCCAUAAUGCAAGUCUAGUUGCUCUAUCAGUGCUAGCAUGCACCAUGGUGAUCACAAACUCUUUUCCUCCAACUAGAUUUGUCAACUUCAAAGAGAGACGUUGUUAUGUAUCCAUCUAACUCUCCACUUGAUAAUCCUCCUCCACAAACACCCAUAUUUUUCCAUUACUAUUAUGCCAAGCAGUUGACAUUCCCACCCAUAGUUUGUACAUCUCUAUGUGUCUUUGAUGUUGAAAUGGCUCCAUUAAUGCCAUAAAAUUGAACUUCUUAUGUCUGUUUAAUAUCACCACUCUUUCAAAAUCUUGCUGAGUGUUAACAGAUCUGAUAUUCCAUAUUAGUGCACUAUUUAUUGAGAACCUUUAGAUUUUGAAGUCGUUUUCCUUGUUUGCACACCUCUUGGAGGUACACUUGUAUCUCUGGUUGCUUUCUUGAUGUUUUUCUUUUUGUUUUGUGCUAUAUGUCUUGGUGAUAUGCCUCCCUUAACCAUGGCUUGUUGCAUGCUCUGUGCUAUGUUCUGCUCAUCCAUUUCAUCAUCAUCACCUAUGUUAAUUUCUUUUUCUUCAGCCUUUUCUAAUUGUUGACGUCCUCUAUUUUCAAAAUUCUUAGCAAUCAACUGAGAGUUCUUCUUCUGCAUGUCAUUCUCUUUGGUCCCAUUAUUAUUCUUAUAAAUUCCAUUAUGCUCAUUUAUAUUUUCCCCUAUAAUUUUUUUUGAAUGUGCUCCUUGAGAAGUUAUUGCCUUCUGUUAUUUCAAGGUUGUUCUUUUAUCUCCUGCUGAUGAUGAUUGAGUAUCCUCUAGUGAUUCUUUGUGAGUCCCAUCUCCCCCAUCCUCAAAUUUCCUACUCAUGCUUUCAUUAAGUGGAUUCUCAAGUACUUUGUUUAAAUCCACAUUUUGUAAUGCUUUUGCCUUCUCAUGUUCCUUCUCAGAAACCUUUGGUUUAUUUACUUCUUCCUCACCUGCCUUACUUUCCCUUUCUUUGUUGCGGCUUUCUUCUUCUUCUUCUUGAUCAUGAUUUCUGUCGACGUCCUUUUUCCUUAUUUUUAUCUUAUAUUGGUAUUUGUUCUUGUUUGUUUGUGUUGGCAUUACUUAGUUCCGCAACUUUAUCAUUGUUGAUAAUUGUUUCAAUUGAUAAUUUAUAUCCUUCAUUAUUUUUGUUGCUACCAAAUUUUCCAGUUGAUCUAUACUCCACCACAGUUUGGAUCUGUUCACCCUUAUAAUGUGAUUUACCAAAGAGGCUUCCACCCAUGGUUUGGAAGUUUCAGCCUUCUUCUUCCCCUGAUCUUCAAUUAUUUCCACAGAAGUCUCCUUCCCACAUAUGUAAGUGCUUGAAAGGAAUUUACAUUGUUCUUCUCUUGCCCAAUUGUCCUUGUUUGCUAUUUAUUUUCUUCAUUAUUAUCCUUUGCAUCCUCACCCUUUUGCCCCUCCUCCAUAUUGCUAUGCUUAUUCUUUUUAUUUGUCACAAUAUUCCAUUCCAGUUUUAUAUUAUUCCCAUUGUUCCUCAGAUAUUUGUUUGCUCCCUUCUUUGUUGUAUCAUAUGGCUUAGUAUGUCGAGACUUAAUAGUCCCAUUAGUUGUUGAAAUUAAUUUAGCAUCAGGUUGAGGUUUAGUCACCUCACUGAUUUGUUUCUGCCUUGAUUUUUCAGGUGCGCCAUCUUGCUCCUGCUUUGGUUCUUCUUUCUUGGGUCUAUAUUCAGGAUGAAUAACCCAGCAACCUUGUAGAUCAUGCCCAUGUAACUUACAAUGAUUAUAAUAUUUGGGCAAGUAGUCAUAUUGUAUUUUCUGCCAUUUUUCCUUUACUUCCCUAGUCUCCUCAUCUAUGCAACUGAUGUGGAUUCUCUUUGGCAAUUCUUUUAGUAAACCCACUUCCACCUUCACACACGCAUAACUUGGUCUAGUCUGGUUGGUCGUAGCUUUAUCAAUCACCAAGGGAGUGACAACUGCUUGGGCCAUAGAAAAUAUUGAUUCUUUAUCAAACAGGUUUGUGGACUGGACUUCAAUUGUGUAUGACAAAAGCAAAGGGCUUAUAUCACUUGGUCUCACCUUCUCUCUGCGCUUCCUACGCAACGGUCACAACGAGACGCUGCCCAGCCCUAGACCAACGGUAAGAAACAGUCGGCGACCACCCCCACCAGCUGGUAUGCCCCCUCUCCCUCAUCUCUCUCGCCUCUACCCACCCCAUCUCUGUCACCCCAUCCCCCCCUCCCCCUUUUUCCUCCCUCUCUCUGCGCUAUAUCUCUCCCAUACCCCCUCCCCCCCCCAACGCCGGCCACCACCACCACCGCCGGGCAGCAACAUCUGUCCCCUCUCCCCUAUUUAUUUCCUUCCUAUUUUUUAAUUCUUAGCUGACUGCAAGUCCUUCCCCCCACUCACGCACACUAUUUCCUCUACCUUUUUCCCCUUUCUCUUCGUUUCCUUUUUGUGCUUCUUUGUUACGACUGGGGCUUCACCAUUGGUAGCGGUGAAAGCCCCUUCCCCCUUUGUUUGGCUCCAUGGUGUUUUGCAUGUUUUUCAGGUUAGGGUCAGUGGCUAUUGGCAGCGAGCAGGACGUGCAUGUGAAAACAGUGAAGAGCAGCCCGGACAAGUGUCAGCAAGAGGCGGUGGGAGUCGUACAUGAACUCUCCCAGGUGGCCGCAACACCGUCGUGAAUACCGAGACAAUUCUCAGGUUCUACUCGCGGGAGUUGGUACCUCCCAUUUUCCUGUUUUCCUUCGUUGUGUUAGUUAAAUUGCUGCUAUCUUAGUUUGUAUUAGUUUAAUCACUGUAUUAGAGUGCAUGUAGUUGCAUCUUAUCUUCUUCUAGUUUGGUUUGUUGCCUAGCGUGUGUUAGUGAUUUCCCUUAGUCUAUUGUAGGUGUUGUGGUUAUGGUUAGGGAUGGUCGAGUGAGGUCAUGUCCUCGGGGAGAGCGGGGGGUGGGGCGAGGGGUGGGGAAGCGGUUAGGGAGUGGGUCGGGAAGCAAAGGAGGUAAGGGGAAUAGGGGUGCAUGUAGGUUGAGAAAUGGGUCAUGGAAUGUAGGUACAUUAACGGGUAACUUUAUAGAGUUGGCAAAGAUUCUUCGGAGGAGAAGGGUCAAUGUAACGUUUGUCCAAGAGACUAGGUGGGUAGGGUCGAGGGUAAGGGAUGCAAACGGUUAUAAGCUUUGGUACUCCGGAGUCCGGAAGGGUAAGAAUGAAGUGGGUAUCUUGAUGGAUGGGGAUCUUAGAGAGUCUGUGGUUGAGGUUAAACGGGUGAAUGAUAGAUUGAUGGCUAUUAAGUUGGUGGUUGGAGAGUGCUCCCUUAACGUCGUUAGCGCUUACGCGCCGCACGCGGGCCUGGAUGAGGAGGUUAAGCGGCGCUUCUGGGAGGGGUUAGAUGAGAUUGUGCGCUAGGUUCCACCUGAUGAGAGGCUAUUCAUAAGAAGGGAUUUCAAUGGUCAUAUCGGGUUGACCGCUGGGGUCUAUGGUAAGGUUCAUAGAGGCUUCAGUUUUGGUGAGAGGAACAGAGAAGGUACUUCGCUGUUAGACUUUGCUAAGGCAUUUGAGUUGGUAAUUGCGAACUCUAGCUUUCUGAAGAGGGAGGAGCAUUUGGUAACUUUUCAAAACGUGUUGGCGAAGACUCAGAUUGACUAUCUCCUCCUCAGGAAGUAUGACAGAGGGUUGUGUAAGGAUUGCAAGGUUAUUCCGGGUAAAAUACUCGCGACGCAGCAUAGGCUCUUGGUAAUGGACGUUGGUAUUAUGUUAAAGAGGAGGAAAAGGUCUGUCCGAGGACGACCGAGAAUCAGGUGGGGAGUCUUGACUAAGGAUAAAGUCCGGGAGGUUGGAGGGGCGAUUAUCGGCUAUGGGAUCCUAGAGGAGUAGUGGGGACGCGAGCACUAUAUGGUCGACAGCAGUAAACUGUAUAAUAGAGGUUGCGAGAGAGGUGUUAGGGGUCUCGGCGAGAGUCUCUGGAGGGAACAAAGGGGAAUGGUGGUGGAAUGAAGUGGUCCAAGUUAAAGUAGAAGCGAAGAAGGCGGUGUACCUGAAGUUAGUAGGGAGCAUAAGUCAGGAGGAGAGGCGAGCCUGCAUGGAGAGGUAUAAGGUAGCUAGGAAGGAAGCUAAGCUGGCGCUCACGGAGUCUAAGACUGCAGCUUAUGGUCGUAUGUACGAGGAACUGGAGAGAAAGGCGAGGAGAAGAAAUUAUUCCGAUUGGCCAAGAUGAGAGAGAGGAAGGAUCAGGAUUUGGACCAAGUGAGAUACAUCAAGGACGAAGAUGGUAGAGUAUUGAUGGAAGAUGCCCAGAUUAAGAGGAGAUGGAAGACUUACUUUCAUAAACUUCUAAAUGAAGAAGGGGGUCGAGAUAUUGUGCUAGGUGAACUGGAGCAUCCCGAGAUUCACCGUGACUUUGGGUAUUGCAGGCACAUCGAGGUUGAGGAGGUCGUGGGAGCUAUGCGUAAGAUGAGCAGGGGCAAAGCGAGCGGGCUGGACAAAAUUUCGGUUGAAUUUUGGAAGUGUGUGGGUAGAGCAGGCUUGGAGUGGCUGACGGGGCUGUUUAAUAUUAUUUUUAGGACGAAGAGGAUACUAGAUGAGUGGAGGUGGAGUACGGUGGUUCUGUUGUAUAAUAACAAAGGUGAUAUCCAGAGUUGUAACAAUUCUAGGGGUAUCAAAUUACGGAGCCAUACCAUGAAAGUUUGGGAGAUGGUGGUUGAAGCAAGGGUAAGGAGGUCAGUGUCUAUAUCCGACAACCAGUUUGGGUUCAUGCCGGAUCGUUCUACUACGGAAGCUAUACACUUUAUUAGGAGACUGGUGGAAUAGUAUAGGGAGAGGAAGAAAGAUCUGCACAUGGUAUUUAUUGAUCUGGAGAAAGCGUAUGACAAGGUUCCUAGAGAAGUUCUUUGGAGAUGCAUGGAGGCUAAAUGUGUGUUGGUUGCCUACAUUAGGGCGAUUAAGGACAUGUAUGAUGAGGCUAAGACUCGGGUUAGGAUAGUAGGAGGCGACUCUGAGGAUUUCCCGGUUGUUACGGGAUUGCACCAAGGUUCUGCGGUUAGCCCGUUCUUAUUUGCCUUGGUGAUGGACGCGUUAACACAUCAUAUUCAAGGGGAGGUGCCAUGGUGUAUGUUAUUCGCUGAUGACAUAGUUCUGAUUGAUGAGUCGUGAGCCGGUGUUAACGAGAGGCUGGAGGUUUGGAGGUCUUGAGACAGGCUCUUGAGUCUGAGGGUUUCAAGCUGAGCAGGACAAAGACGGAAUACCUAAAGUGCAAGUUCAGUGCUAAGUCAAAGGAAGUGGACAUGGAUGUGAGGCUUGAAUCACAGGUCAUCCCAAGUAGAGGCAGUUUCAAGUACCUUGGGUCGGUUAUCCAAGGGGAAGGGGAGAUCGACGAGGAUGUCAUACACCGUAUUGGAGUGGGGUGGAUGAAGUGGAGGUUAGCAUCUGGAGUCCUGUGUGACAAGAGAGUGCCACUGAUACUCAAAGGUAAAUUUUAUAGAGCGAUGCUUAGACCGUCCAUGAUGUAUGGGGCUGAGUGUUGACCUGUUAAGAACUCACAUAUCAAGAAGAUGAAAGUAGCGGAGAUGAGAAUGUUGAGGUGGAUAUGCGGGCACACUAGGAUGGAAAAGAUUAGGAAUGAUGAUAUUCGGGAGAAGGUGGGUGUGGCUCCCAUUGAUAACAAGAUGCGGGAAGUAAGGCUUAGAUGGUUCGGGCACGUUCAGAGGAGAAGUCCAGACGCCCCGGUAAGGAGGUGUGAGCGGCUGGCCUUGGAUGGCUCGAGAAGAGGUAGAGUGCGACCUAAAAAGUAUUGGGGAGAGGUAAUCAGGCAGGGCAUGGCGAGGCUUCAGAUUUCCGAGGACAUGGCCCUUGAUAGAGAGUUGUGGAGGUCGAGUAUUAGGGUUGUAGGUUAGGAGGUAGUUGAGUCUUUCCUUAGUUCGUACACUUGUGAGGCUAGUUUGGUAGGAUUUUUGUCUGAGACAGCUAGUGGCAAUAUUGUGUCUUACUACUCUUUCAUUUUUCAUAGAGCCGACUCUAUUUAAUGGUUACCGCUUUUGCUCUGCACCUAUUCUUUUGGCUUUCACGAUGUUAAUUUUUUUCUUAUGGUAUCUGUUGGUGGUACUGAUAUUGUCUCUUUUCUUUUCUUUUCUUUUCUUUUCUUUUCUUUUCGUCUUCUUGAGCCGAGGGUCUUUCGGAAACAGCCUCUCUACUCCUCGGGGUAGGGGUAAGGUCUGCGUACACACUACCCUCCCAGACCCACUGGUGAAAUUUUACUGGGCCGUUGUUGUUGUCAAAUCAAAUAGGUUUGUGGGUAAUACAGGGAAAGAGAUCAAUGCCACUGCAAUCGUGGUUUCUUCCUCUGGGUUAAACCAUGGAUCCCAAUUAAAAAUCUUAAAGGAUAGAUCCUUCCCCUAAAUCUAAUUCAAAAGCACUUGAUGUGAGCGAUGCAUAAUCCUCCGCUAAGGAUAGCCGUAUUAAGAUGUGCCCCUCCUCUAAAAAACCAAUGUUACAAUGCCCUUUGAUUUCUAAUUGAAUUGGUAAAAUCCUCCUCAGUUCCUGUAAAAUCCUACUUAUUAAAUCUCAUAUGAUAACAUAAAAAGUAAAAUAGUAACCUGUUAUAUAACCCAUUAAUUACACUAAUGGCGUAAAAAUAAGUAUGAACAUCUCUUGUGGUCAAAUUAUUGAAGCCUCCUAGGAGCACCGUACAGCUUUAUGUCUUUGACAAUGCCUCCAAAUUUUGGAGUUUGGCCAUCCACUUCUAUUACACACGUCCUUCCAAAUCUACAUGUUAUAUUGCACACUCAUCUGUUUAGCAUAUGCGUAGAACAACAAAAUGAUAAAGCAAGAAAUCCAUUUCGAGAGGGUAUGAUUGUAUCAUAUAAAUAGAGGCAGAGUUAGGAUUUAAAGUUUGCGCUUUCAAGCUCUAAGCUUAUAAAAAUACUGUAUUACAACUUAAUAAUUUAUACAUAUUUAACAAAACUCUCAUGAGAAUAUAAAAUUUAAACCAAAAUCAUUUAAUUUCACAGAAUGGGUAAGCUAAACUCUAAUUCUGCCCUACAUAGAAGAGAAGGCUAUAUGAGCCACAAAAGUUGUUUUACAAAAUUUCGAUCCUAUGUCACAAACGCUAGAUUAGCUAAUGGCCAAUCAUUCUAUGCGGCCUCCUUUUUUCAUGUACCUAAUGACGUGUUCUUUUAUACUAUCAAAUUAUAUACUUGAGCAACGAUUUUAUUACUUUUGGAUAUCCAAUAUGCUCUAAAUAAUAGGUUGAUUAAUAAUCUGGUUUAUGGUUGAAUUCUCUACGCAUAUAGCCACAGAACAAAAAUAUAUCAGGAAUUAUUAGCAAAAGCUCCUAUAAUGCAUGAUAUUCUAACUGCAUCUUGACAAGUAUAAUAGGUAAACCAUUUCAGAAAUAAGUAAUAUAAUUAAUUAGUUUAUGAUUGAUAAUAUGUACCUAGUACCCACACAACCUAAUAAGUCAUAACAAUGAUACAUCAGGAAUAUGUAACACACAACAAUAAGACAUUCCAGAAUUAUUUGCCUAUGAGUCCCUAUAAUUGAUGACCUAAUAAUCAAGCAAACGAAUGAUUAUAUUUAUGAUAUCAGCUGAUAGCUCAUUCUUUUAUUUUCUUUCUAUAGAUUAUUCUUUUUUUCUUUUUUGAAAAGAGAGAGAGAAGUAUAUGCAUCAUCCAAUGGAGUCAUGGCCAACCUGAUUUAGCUGGCGAAAAAUAAUUCAUUUUUAUUCUUGCUCUUUAAAUAAUUGUGUGUUCUGGUUAGUGGUUAAAGAACUUAAACAUUAAAAUAAAAUAUAAAAAAAGAAGAAGAAAAAAAAAAGAUGAUGAUGAGCGCAAAAGCUUGUGAGUUCUGGCGUCUUUCCAAACAGAUCACAUGCACCAUUUGAUUGAUUAGAAUAUACGGUAUAACAUCCUUAUAUAACAGUACUUCACUAUAAAAGUAAUUUUUUUCGGAACAAAAUUUUAUGUUCUGUUAUAAUAUAUAUUUUCUUUAACAGCAAUUCGAUAUAACGAUCAAAAAUAAAUAAGGUUGUUAUAAAGAAGUUUGACAGUACUAAUUCCCCUUCCACGUAAAAUCUCAUCCACUCGGCACGUGUUCUCUCCCUUAGGGUUCAGAAAAAUUGUUAAUUAAAUGAAACACUCAUAUCUUCAUUUCGCGAUGGUUCGUAAAUUCAUUUCAUUAUGUUACUAAUAAAUCAACUUUUCAAUCACAACUCCCUCUGUCAUAAUCUAACUUUUAGUAGCCUGAUGAUCUUACCUAUUCGAAACUAUAUAUAUACUCUUAGUUAUCUUGAUUUUAUUGCUUCUCAAUAUUUUGAUAGUAAUGGAUUGCUAUAACUGUUUUUUCCUAAAAAAAAGGAUGAAAUUUAAUAAUCACUACGCGUAUUUAUUCUUUUUAACAUUCUUCUUAAUUAAGAAUUUUUUUUAUAAAGUCACACGAAGAUUUACUGAUUCAAACCAAAGACCCUCUCCUCUCCUCCUUUACCUAUUCACAAUUUCAAAUCUACUCCAAUGAAUUAAAAAAAGGUUUUAAAAAAAAGUUCAUUCCAUUUAUUAAUUAAAAGGUUCAACCCUAAUUAAAGCACAUUAAAGAGAGUUGGAGGUAGUAUUUUAAGCUCUAAUAGUGCCGCCAAAACCGAGCACCCCAUACACUUAAACAUUAUACUAUUGUACUUGUAUGAAUUUCAAAAGGAACCUUAUCUAACUUACAUUAGUGGUAGUGUUUUCAAAAUAAAUGAGUCCAAAUGAUAUGCCUUAAACCAAGUGUCAAUAUGUAUGUAAAGAGCUUUUACAUAUGGCAAGCCUUCUAGAAACUAUGGACAAAUGGCUUAUUUUGUCAAGUGUCCUCUUGCAUGAUUGUUCAUGGACAUGUGUUGAACCACUUGUCAAGAUUAUCACUAUUAUUCUUGCCUAUAUAUAGCCACAAUCUACCCAUAUAUAUGAUCAAAAAAAAAAAUUAUCUUCUCCUUUGUAGUUCAAUCAUUACCUAGCUACAUAGCCAUCAUCAUAGCAAUUAUUAAGCUUUCUUCUAUAGUCCCAUUUCGGCCAAAUUCUCAUUCACAAGUUAUUUCUUUUAUAGUUUUCCAACUUGCUGGAUUUAUUAUUAAUAUUUUGCUUAUUCUUGUAUCCUUUAAAUAAAUAGAAAUAGGCUUGUUUAAUCCUGAAAAAAUAUUUCACAUUACUAAAAUUAUUUCUUAGGACAGUGCCUAGCACGACUCAAGCCAAUCCGUGUGUUUUCGCUUACAAAUAAUAUUAUUGUAGCAGUGUUAUUAUUGAAAUUUUGCUCUCACUUCCUACAAUCUAAGAAACUAUGGCAAGUAAUGCUACCACGAAAAUUUUUUAUGGUGCUACCAAUUCUGGUGUUGUCUCUGCUGCUACUGUUCCAGCUGUCCUACAAGAUAUUCAUGGUAUUGCAAAUACGUUAUUGCAUCCACAACUUUGGCAGACACUAAUAUCAAAAUACAGAUAUGUGAAUAGACAUGGUUACAUAUCCAAUGCUAAUAUUAUACCUUCAAGAAAAAUGCACCUCAAUGCAAGAGAAGAGUUGGGAUAAAUGAUAAUCUCGCUAAGUUAAAAUUAAAUUUGACUAAAGCGGAUAAUAUAAUUAUUGCGGUUAUUUUUCAAAUAAAUAAUGUGGCCAAUGUGAGAAAUUGGGUGAUAGACUCCGGUGCUACUAGGCACAUUUGUGCAAACAAAAAUAAAUUUUUGUCUUACACCCAAAUUGAGGAAGGAGAAGAAACUAUUUAUCUUGGUGACUCAAGGACAACUCGCGUUCUUGAGAAAGGAAAAAUUCUUCUCAAACUCACAUCUGGUAAAACUCUAGCAUUGAGUGAUGUAUUGCAUGUUCCUAAUAUACAAACCAAUUUGGUUUCUGUGGGAUUAUUAGGAAAAGUUAGAAUGAAAGUUUCUUUCGAGAAUGAUGAGGUCGUAUUGACCAAAAAUGAUAUUUUUGUGGGCAAUGGAUAUUGUAACCAUGGUUUAUUUGUGCUUAAUAUUUUUGAUACUAGAUAUAAAAAUGCAUCUUCUUCUACUUAUAUGGUUGAGUCAAUUUCUUUAUGGCAUGCUAGACUAGGACAUCUUAAUAUAGCAUAUAUAAAGAAAAUACAGUCACUAGGAUUAAUAUCUGGUUUAGACUCAAAUAAUACUGACAAGUGUGAAACAUAUGCUGAAGCUAAAAGUACUAGAAAGACUUGCUUUUCUGUAAAUAGAAAAAUUGAAUUGUUAUCUUUAAUUCACACUGAUUUAGGUGAUUUGAAGCAGACUAUGAUUGGAGGUGGUAAAAGAUAUUAUGUGACUUUUAUUGAUGAUUUUUCUAGAUAUAUUAAGUUGUAUUUGCUUAGAAAUAAAGAUGAUGCAUUUAGUGCUUUUAUUUCUUAUAAAACUGAGGUUAAAAAUCAACUUAGUAGAAAAAUUAAGAGAAUUAGAUCUGAUAGAGGUGGAGAACAUUUAUCUUUAAAUGAUUUUUGUGAAAAGAAUAGAACAAUUCAUGAAGUAACUCCGCCUUAUUCAACCGAGUCAAAUGGAGUAGCUGAAAGGAUAAAUAGAAUAUUGAAAGAGAUGAUGAACUCUAUGUUUGUUAGUUCUAAUGCUCAUGAUAAUUUGUGGGGUGAAGCUAUUUUAUCUGCAUGUCACUUACAAAAUAGCAUACCAUAUAAAAGAACUGGCAAAACUCCGUAUGAAUUGUGGAGGGGUUAUAAACCUAACUUGAAAUAUUAAAAAGUGUGGGGGUGCCUUGCUAACGUUCUUUUGCCUGAACCUAAAAAGAGAAAAAUAUGUUCCAAAACUGCUGAUUGCAUACUUAUUGGUUAUGCUGAACAUAGUGCUGCAUAUAGAUNNNNNNNNNNNNNNNNNNNNNNNAUUUCUCAUAUACCUGUUGAAAUAAAUAGUGAAAUUACCUCUAAUGAGGAACUGAGAAGGAGCAAAAGGCCUAGGAAAUAAUAUUUUUCUUAUGGAAAUGAUUUUCAGACCUUUCUUGUCGAUAAUGAACCAUCAAAUUAUUUUGAAGCUAUAUCUUCUUCAGAUGCUAAAUAUUGGAAAGAGGCAAUAAAAGUUGAAAUCGAUUCUAUUUUAAAAAAAAUAAAACAUGAAUUUUAACAGAUUUACCUCCUGGUGCAAAGCCUAUUGGUUGUAAAUGGAUUUUCAAAAAGAAAUUUAAUCCUGAUGGAUCUUUAAAUAAAUAUAAAGCUCGGUUAGUAGCAAAAGAAUUUUUCUCAAAAAUAAAAUAUAGAUUAUUUUGAUACGUUUGUACCAGUGACUAGAAUUUCUUCUAUUCAAGUUUUAAUUACCUUAGCUUCUAUCUAUAAACUUUUUAUCCAUCAAAUGGAUGUCAAAACAACUUUUUUAAAUGGUGAUUUAGAAGAAGAAAUUUAUAUAGUUCAACCUGAAAGCUGUGUCAUUCCUGGACAAGAAAAUAAAGUUUGUAAAUUAAUUAAAUCUCUUUAUGGCCUUAAACAAGCUCCUAAGCAAUGGUAUGAGAAAUUUGAACAAGUCUUACUGAGAGACGAUUUUUCUUCGGUGGAGGUGGUUAAAUGUGUUUAUACUAAAGUGAUAGACAAUGAUUAUGUGAUAAUAUGUCUAUAUGUUGAUGACAUGCUUAUAUUUGUUACAAAUUUAAAUAUUGUGCAAAGUACAAAAUUAUUUAUGUCUGCUAAUUUUGAUAUGAAAGAUCUAGGUGAAGUAAAUAUGAUAUUGGGAGUUAAAGUUAUAGGGAGUGAAGAUGGCAUAAUGUUGUCACAAGAAUAUUAUGUUGAGAGAUUUCUUAAGAAUUUUGAAUAUUUUAAUGUCACACCAGUAAUCACUCCUUUUAAUGCUAACUCUCAGUUGAAAAAGAAUAAUGGUGACCUAGUUGCUCAGUCUAAAUAUGCUCAGAUUAUUAGGAGUCUGAUGCAUUUAAUGAAUUUUACAAGGCCUAAUAUAGCCUAUGUUGUGUGUAGAUUGAGUAGAUAUACUCAUAAUCCCAACAACGAGCAUUUGUCUGCAUUAGCUAGACUAAUGAAAUAUUUGAGAGGAAUCAUGAAUUAUGGUAUCCUAUAUAGUGGAUUUCCUUCUAUUUUAGAAGGGUACAGUGAUGCAAACUGGAUCUCUAAUUCAUAUGAGACAAAAUUCACUAGUGGUUAUGUAUUCAGUAUUCACCCUUGGUGGUGGUGCAAUAUCGUAGAAAUCAGCUAAACAGAUGAACAUUGCUAGAUCGACUAUGGAAUCAGAGUUUGUAGCUCUGGAGUUAGCUGGUUUUGAGGCUGAGUGGCUAAGAAACUUCUUAGCUAAUAUCCCUUUAAUAAAGGACGUAUUGCCUCCUAUGUCUAUACAUUGUGAUUGCCAAGCGGCAAUAGCUAUAGCAAAGAAUAAAUCUUAUAAUUGUAAAAGUAGACACAUGAAAUUGAGACACGAUGUCAUAAAGCAGCUGCUGAGAGAUGGAAUAAUUUUCAUUGAUUAUGUGAAGUCAGAAGUUAAUUUGGCUGAUCCUCUGACUAAACUUGUGGGAAGAAAAUUAAUUCUCCAAACCUCAAAAGAGAUAGGGUUAAGGCCGACAUGUUGUCAAUAAAGAUGGUAACCCAACCUAUAUGAUUGGAGAUCCUAUGAAGUAGGUUCAUAUGGGUAAUAAUAAGUCGAUAUUGGCACUAAUGCACUAAAAGAGAGUGCUUGACUGCUACUAAUUGAGAGGCUGAGUUAUAACUCUUAAUGAAAUUCAUAGUCCUUAUGGAUAGUGUAUUUAAAAGCAGUAUACACUUGAUGAAUUAACUUAUAUGAGAGUGGAGUGGGCCGCUCUUAUGAGAUUUGGGCCUAGUCUCUAUAGCUCUUAUGAAUAGCCAGGCACGCGCAUGGCCUAUAGGGCGCAAAACCGCGUUGAACAGCAAAAUUACCGGGGGUCGAAAUAUGAUUGAUAAAAUCUCUGACUUACAAUAAGAAUUAUUAGUUCAUAAAAAUAUUAUAUUUCACCAGUAAUUCUGUAAGUUAAAUUUUAUUGAUCUAAGUUUGGUUCAUACUCUAGAAGACACCAAACCUAUUACAUUUGGACCAUACAAAAUCCAGCAAAGUCUUAUUAUUCUAUCUUUUUUAUUUUAAAAAUAUGUGGGGAUUGUGGUAGUAUUUUCAAAAUAAAUGAGUCCAAGUGAUAUGCCUUAAACCAAGUAUCAAUAUGCAUGUAAAGAGUUUUUACAUAUGGCAAGCCUUCUAGAAGCUAUGGACAACUGGCUUAUUUUGUCCAAGUGUCCUCUUGCAUGAUUGUUCAUGGACAGGUGUUAAACCACUUGUCAAGAUUAUCAUCAUUAUUCUUGCCUAUAUAUAGCCACAAUCUACCCAUUUGUAUGAUCAAAAAAAAAAUUAUCUUUUUCUUUGUAGUUCAUACCUAACUACAUAGCCAUCAUCAUAGCAAUUAUUAAGCUUUCUUGUAUAGUCCUAUUUCGGCCAAAUUCUCAUUCACAAGUUAUUUCUUUUACAAUUUUCCAACUUGCUAGAUUUAUUAUUAAUAUUUUGUUGAUUUCUAUAUCCUCUAAAUAAAUAGAGAUGGGCUUGUUUAAUCUUGAGGAAACAUUUCACAUUGCUGAAAUAGUUUCUUAGGACAGUCUCUAACACGACUCAAGUCAAUCCGUGUGUUUUCGCUUACAAAUAAUAUUAUUGUAGCAGUGUUAUUAUUAAAAUUUUGCUCUCACUUCCUAUAACAUUUUGGUAGUACUCUCUCCCAUUCACUUUAUUUGAUUUUUUGGCCUCUUUUGUAUUCCAUAAUAUUUGAUUUUUUCAGAUAUCAAAAAGGAAUUAAUUUCUCUUUUCCAAAGAUGUCCUUGGAGCAAAGAGCCUAGAACUUUGGAAUAUUUGUCAUAUUUUUAAUGAACAAAUUAAGUUAAUAUGGUCAAUAUCAAUUUUAAUUAAUGCUAAAAGGUAAAUUCUUUAAUAUGCGUGAUAACAACCAAAAAAUUAAUUAAAAUGAACCGAAAAGAAUAGUAAUUAAAGCAUAUUAAAAACUAGUUGAUAUGUAUUACGAGUUUACGCCGUAUUUGAUAGUGGCAGAAUUUAAAUAAAAAUAAAAAUGUCACAUCUAAAAUCUGAACUUGUUGUGAUAUAAAGCAAUUUUUGAAUCCCUUUUAUUAUUACAUUAUAAAAUGCCCUUAUGCCAAGAGAAUUAAAUAAUUUAAAUAUUAACACACAAAUUAUUUUUACAAUAUAAUUUUUCGAUAAAAAGAUUUAAUUAAACUCUUGGGUCCUAGCUGGGUUCCUGCGAUUUGAUAAGAGAAUCAUUCGAGGUGUAUAUAUCUGUAUUCACAUCCCGCUAUGCCUCCUUGGAUUGCAACAUGUCUUGAAAAUGGGAGCAUACUCUCCCCAUUAACAAACCCUUUAUAGUAUUAUACUGUCUCAAGUAUUUUAAGUUAUUCAUGAUUUAAAAUGUGAUAACUAAAUUAAUAUAGUAUAUGAUGUAUGAUGCAUCAAUAUUCUCAAUUAUAAUGCUUUUUUAAAUACAGAUCUAAGGGCUAUUAUGUCUUACUAACUUAGAUUGUUAUGAGUAAAUUAAAAAACAAUUCUAUGGUCCCCCCCUACCCCAAAACCCUUUAAAUAAGGAUCUAAUAAUUAUAAUAUUUAGUUAAAAUUAGUUGAAGUGAGCUACCUCACCACAUGCCCUUUGCUCCCACAAUUCUCCAUUUGGACCACUUCUUUCGUCCAACCAGCUCAUAUAUACCUUUUAUAUUUCACGUAAUUCAAAUAUUAUUAAAAUACGAUAAAGUUGCUAACCUGUGAUAAAUCUUUGGUAAGAAAAGAUCAAAUAGAUUAAGAGCAAUUUGUUAGUCGAAAAAUAUUCUAUUUAACUUUCAAAGAUGAAGUAGGAUAUUAAUUGGUACAAGACGAAAAAUUGCUUAGUUAGUGUAUAACUUUUUAACGAAGAGUUUUUCUCUAUUAAAUAUGUGAAACGAAAAUAAAAGUAACCCUUUGUUCUCCUUCUAAUUUUCGAAAACAAAAGAAUGGCUAAAGAAACCGGUUUUUGCUAAAGAUUAUUUUUUAUGAUACCUUGAAAUAUAUUUAGGAAUAUUUUUCGUGUUCUUUGUGAUUCUCCGAUAAAAAUGAAUUUGUUAGUUAACAAAAGCAAGCUCUGGAUUGGUCUUACUUGUUUGGCAAGGAAUUAGUCAAACCUUGUGGCCAUGGAAUAUGGAUUAAUAGAUGUCAAUAGAAUAUGUAUAUUUGGGAUUCAGCUGAUUAAUAAAAGGGUAUAAAAUUGAAGAGAAGUUGGUUCUUAUCUUAUAACUGUUUGGAUGAGUAACGCUAUCUGCUAUCUCAAAGCUUAUACUAUUAUAUAUAGAGUAAUUACUAGAGAGUGGGAUUUUACAAAUAAGGACACCAGUGAAUGAAAAACAAGACAAUGUACAAAAGAUAAUGGAUUGCCCAAUUAUGAACCUAUGAAUUAAACUUUUACCAAUAAAAUAGUAGCUUAAAAUUUAACGCCUAUUUUUUAUUCCCUUUUCCACAAUUUACAUGGACAUAUACAAAAUGCCAAAUAUGAUUUGAAGCUGUCCCAAAGACGUUUUUCUAUUUUCAUGCGAAAUAUGCCUCAAGGAUUGUAGACAUAUUUUGACUUUGGAGGACACCAUGCUUGUCACCUAUAAGCUUGUAGGAAUAUUUAUUGAAAUGCAAAAGAAAUAGCAAAGCUCAAAUUCAUCGGAGGGAAUAUGUAUAUCCUUUUACUUACAUGAAAUGAAUCACUUGUCAUAGAAGGGCUAAGCAUAAAAACGAAUCCCUGUUUGCUUCACAAACACGAAUUCAAAAGUUGAAAGUAUAUAUGAACAAAAGUUAGAUUAAUGAAAGGGAAUUAUUACUAUCAUUGACAAAUUCUCAGAUAAACAAGAUGAAAUAGAGCUCAGAUGAGCUUCAAUGGCAGAUGAACAAAGACCUAGCUAAGAAAGAGGAAAAUGAGAGAAGAAGCUUCGAGAGAUGUGUGAAAUAUAAUCGGGAAAAAUAAAUUGAAUAUUUACUAUACAGCUUCGAGAGAUGUGUGAAAUAUAAUCGGGAAAAAUAAAUUGAAUAUUUACUAUACAAAAUAUCCAAGCACCUUACAUAUACAAGUGGCUCACACACUUGACAGCUGGCAAUAGUUGUUCACUAACUAAUAACAACUAAUAGCUAUAUUAACAAACUAACAAGGCUAAACUAUCUAAUUAAGCUAUGGUUAGAAAAUGAUAAAUACACUUGUGCACAAAGUGUAAGUGUAUGACCAAUCUCAAUACCCCCCCCCCCCCCCACAAGUUGGAAGGGAAGAAUUCACAGCCAACUUGCUAAGUAGGUCUGACUGUUUGAUACCAGUCAGAGAUUUCGUGAAGAUAUCUGCGAGUUGCUCGUUGGUAGAUACAUGAUACAAAGAAAUCAAUCCCUCCUGCAGCUUGUUUCUAACAAAGUGGCAGUCAACAUCUAUAUGUUUUGUGCGUUCAUGGAAUACUGAAUUUCUAGCUAUUUGCAAGGCAGCUUGGCUAUCGCAAAAUACAGGAAUGGGCAGAUUUAGGGGAACAGACAAUUCUUCAAGGAGUCUAGCUAACCAGACUAGCUCACCCACAACCUGUCUAGCUGCUCUAUACUCUGCUUCAGCUGAAGAUAAGGAAAUAGUAGAUUGUUUCUUUGAUUUCCAACUAAUAGGACUGUUUCCAAGCAGCACAAUGUAUCCACUAACUGACCUUCUAGACUUAGGGCAUGCUGCCCAAUAUGAGUCACAAAAGGCUCUAAUUCCAUAGUCCUUGCUAUUGGAAAGGAGUAUGCCCAGACUUGGAUCACCUUUCAAAUAUCUCAAAACAUGGUAUGCAACUUUCAAAUGAGCUUGGUGACUGCAUGUACUGGCUAAGAUGCUGCACACUGUAGGAUAUAUCAAGCCUUGUAUUUGUCAAAAAAUCAACUUCCCUAUCAGUUUCCUGUAGUUAGAAGGGUCAGGCAAUAGUAGACUCUCAUCUACCUUCAGCUUUGCAGAGGGAUCAAGGGGUGAUGACAGGUUGGUAUACUGAGUACACUCAAACUUUUUUAUCAGAUCCAUAGUGAACUUUCCUUGGGAUAUUAGCACUCCAUAUUCCUUGUAAAGCACUUCCAUUCCUAUGAAGUAGUGUAACCUUCCCAAAUCUUUUAUUUUAAAAGUUUCAUGCAGAAAACUCUUCAAGGAGUCAAUCUCUUCGUGAUGAGUCCCUGUUACAAUGACAUCAUCUACAUAUACAGCCACAAACACUACUAAGGAUCCUUUCCUUUUGUGAAAUAGUGAGUAAUCCAAUAGUGUGUGUGUGUGUCUUUUAGAACAUAAAGUUGCAGUCAAUUUCUCAUACCACUGCCUAUUUGCUUGUUUGAGUCCAUAUAGAGACUUAUUCAACUUGCAUACUAAACCUGGCUUGUCUACCACCAGGCCCUGAGUCACCUCCAUGUAGACUUCCUCAUGUAGGUCUCCAUGAAGGAAGGCAUUGUUUACAUCUAAUUGAAACAUUUGCCAUCCUUUCUUUACUACAGUUCCAAUCAGUGCCCUCACAGUUGUCAUCUUCACAACAGGUGAAAAUAUCUCUGUAUAAUCUAUCCCUGCUUGCUGAGUGUAUUCCUUCACCACUAGUCUAGCCUUAAACCUCUCAACACUACCAUCAACCCAGUAUUUUAUUUUAUAUAUCUAAUUACACCUUAUUGCACUCUUACCAGCUGGGAGUAGUACCAGACUCCAUGUAUUGUUAGCAUAUAGUGCCUCAAAUUCUUGAUUCAUGGUUGAUUUUCAUGUAGGACUUACAGCUCCCUCCUCAUAUGAACCAGGUUCACAUUCAUGUGAAAUAUUCCUUACCAAUUACUGACUAUCAGAGCUUAACAUAUUAAGAGAGAUAUACUGUGGAUUAGGUACAUAAGUUGCAAAAGAGAGAGAAGAAUUACUCUAAAUGUCAUUGGAGAAAUUAAUUUGUGGUGAAGGUUGAUGUUGUAGAUCAUGCAGCUUUGGGAGAGAGUAGUUAUAGUCUUUUAGGUAUGUAGGAACUUUAUGUGUUCUGAAAGGUAUGAUUUGUAUGGGGCCUAAUUGGUUCACUUGAUGUCCUGCACUGUUUGGAUUAUCAAUGUGAGGCAAAGGUUCUUGGUAAUUAUUAUUAGGUGACAAGUGUUCACUGUGGUUGUUUCUGUGAACUGUGUUCUGUUGGAGCAGGACUAUGGUGAUAAAUUCCUAUGUGAAGGUUCAGGUGACACUGUAUUAUAAUGUUGAUCUGGUAAGUUUGAAACUGCCUCUCUAGGAGGAUAGAAAUCAGAUGCCAAGUCUUUAUUGACUUGAGGAAAUGAAGGAAAAACCUUAUUUGAUUUGGAAAACAAAGUAAAAGGAAAGACAUUCUCAUGGAACACUACAUCUCAUGAAACAUGGAUCCUUUUUUUUAACUAGAUUUAACACUUUGUAACCCUUUGUCCCAAAAGGAUACCCCACAAACACAUGAGGUAAAGUUUUGGCCUCAAACUUGUCCUUAUGGGUCUUAAGUGUGGUAGAAAAACACAGGCAACCAAAGCUUUUAAGAUGUGAAUAACAUGGCUUUUUCUAAUAGUGUAGCUCAAGAUGACAUUUGCCUUUGAGGGAAAAAGAAGGUAAUCUGUUUAUUAUAUAAGUGCAGGUAAAAAUACACUCUCCCCAAUACUGUAAGGGUAGUUUUGAUUGAUACAACAAUGCCCUUGUUGUUUCUAGUAGACACUUAUGUUUUCUAUCCACCACCCCAUUUUGUUGGGGCGUAUAUGGACAGGUUCUUUGGCGUACAACUCCCCAAGAUUGAAAGAAAAAGGUAGCUUCUAGAUUGGUGAACUCAGUCCCAUUAUCUGUUCUUAUAGUUUUAGUGCUAAACUGGUUUUUCACCAUAGCAAAUAAGGCUUGUAUGGUUUGUAAGGCAUUGUUGUUACAUCUCAAUAAAUGUAUCCAUGUACAUCUACUGUAAUCGUUUACAAAAGGUGAUGAAAUACUUGUGCUUGUCAUGGGUUGCAAUGUGGUAUGGUCCCCACAAAUCAACAUGUAAUAUUUCAAAAACUUUGGUUGUAAGGACGGUUCUUUAUAGAAAGGGUAGUCUGCUUUGUCUAGCCAUUGGGCAUAUGGGGAAAAGGAAAGGUUGUGUAAGUGUGAAUUUGGCAGGUAUCUCAUGGAUUCCCUUCAUUUUGGCAAAGGGCACAUGUCCUAAUCUAUUGUGCCACAAAAGUUCAACCAUGUUUCUAUUAGAUGUAGAUGUGAAAGUAAAAAUAGAAGUAGAUGAAAUUGACACAGAAAUAUUUUUUUCACUACUUAAGGAUGAAGUAUUAACAGUGGAGUAUUUAUAAGGAUCAACACCACUCUUAUUACAAGCAUGAAAUAAAACAGGUAAACUAAAUGAAACAGGGGGAACAAGAUGCAAGUGAAGGUGUAUAUUAUUCUUAUCAGACAUACUAGAUGGAAUUUGAGUAGAAGUUUGAGUGAGGGCUGCAACAGUCUUGCAGAGAUCUGAAAUGUGAUAGUAUAGGCCAUUAGUAGCCUUACCAAUUUCCAGAGGCAUCUUCAGUGAAGGGUCCUGCAGAAGAAUACAUGAAAACUUAGUAAAGAUGACAUAAUAAUCAAAUUGAACUGUCAAGCAAUGGAUAGAUAUUAUGUUGAAUUUGAAACUGGGCACAAAAAGGACUCUCUUGAGGCUGAAUUUAGGGCUCAAGACUACAUCACCUACAAGUGUCACCUUCACCUUAUAUCCAUUAGGCAGUGUAACUAGAAGAGGGUAAACUAAGGUCUUGAUAUUAGUUAAAAUGAAUUUGUUAUAAGUCAUGUGAUUUGUGGCCCCGGAAUCAAGUAUCCAAUAAUCAGCACUUGGCUUAAAACAUUCAUAUGAAGGAUCGCUGGAGUCAAGAGAAGUAGAACAAGCUGAAAUACCUGCAAAGUUUACUGCUCCUGCCUUCAUGCCAGAAUUAUCGUCUGCACUUCCAGUCUGAAAAUUUUUUAGGAUGCUGAUGAGCUGGUUGUAUUGUUCUUUGGUCAGAUUCUUCAUCACUCGCCCCUCUUCUUGAGUUUGUAGCUUUUCCUCAACUCCUAUACCAGUAUCCUUAUAACCAUAAUCUUCAAACACAUUGGCAGCCACUCACUUUCCCUUAUUGAACUUGGGGUCUUGUGGAUAACCAUGAUGCUUGUAUCACCUAUCCUUGGUGUGCCCUGGCCUCUUGCAGUAAUCACAAAUUGGUCGAGGUCUAUUUGUAGAGUAAUUUCCCUGAAACUAUUACUCCAGUGCCACUCGACUGGUUGUAGUUUAUGUAGAAACUCCCUCCAGGUCCAUUUCCUUGUUGACCAUAACUCGUUCUGAAGUUGUUAUUUCCUAUCUUGUUCACACUCAAAGCAGUAGAGUCAAUCAUCAAUUGAUUACUUGGCUUCAUCUCCCUUUGCUUCUCCUCUUGGAUGAAAAUGGUAAAUGCUUGUGCCAAGGAAGGUAAGGGAUUCAUCAUCAGGAUGCUUCCCUUCAUAAUAGUGUACACCUCAUUUAAUCCCAUUAGAUAUUGAAUUAACCUACUGUCUUGCUCAGCUUUCUGCAUACUUGCCUUGGCACCACAUGUACACUGGAACUUGCAUUGAGCAUGCGCAUUCAAGGUGUUCAGUUCUUCCCGCAGCUUCUUCAUCUUAGUGUAGUACCCUAUAAUGUCGAGUGCUCCUUGACUCAAAUUGCUGAUUUUUUUCUGUAAUUGAUAUAGUUUUGCCCCAUUGGUUUGAUCAUAUCUGUCCUCCAACUCCUACCAAAGCUUUUUGGCAUCGUUUACAUAUUGCAGACUGUCUGCCAGAUCCUUUGAGAGAGAAUUUAAAAUCCACGAGGUCACUACAUUAUCGCAUUGUUCCCAUUAAUCAUAGGUGGGAUCCUUUGAGUCUGGUUUUCCACACUUCCCAUUUAUGAAGCCUACUUUGUUCUUCAUAGAAACAGCCCUAAGUACUCCUCGCCUCCAUGACUUGUACCUCGAUCCAUCAAAAAGCAUUGGCACAAGCAUGGAACCUACAUUUUCGGAUGGAUGCAUGUAAAGUGGGUUGGUUAAAUCGAGUAGCGGGUUAGGAGAAUUCGAUGUGUUUUCUUUAAUUGCCAUAAUUCUAGUCGAUGUGUAUGCGCAGAUAACUCUUAAUCGCCCAAUUUCUGUAGCGAUCCUAAAUUUGGGCUGACUUCAAACCUCAAAAUUAAACAAUGUCGAACUUUGAUUUCUGUGGACCAAAAAUGAAAUCAAGCUAGAGAUUAGAACCUCCGCACUAAUACCAUGACAAAUUCUCAGAUGAACGAGAUGAAAUCGAGCUCAGAUGAGCUCUAAUGGCAGAUGAACAAAGACCUAGCUAAGAAAGAGGAAAAUGAGAGAAGAAGCUUUAGGAGAUUUGUUAAACAUAAUUGGGGAAAAUGAAUUGAAUAUUCACUGUACAAAAUAUCCAAGCACCUUACUUAUACAAGUGGCUCACACACUUGACAGCUGGCAACAGUUGUCCACUAACUAAUAACAACUAAUAGCUAUAUUAACAAACUAACAAGGCUAAGCUAUCUAAUUAAGCUAUGGUAAGAAAAGGAUAAAUACACGUGUGCACAAAGUAUAAG
rnacentral:lncRNA from 1 species